UUUUUUUUUUUUUUUGUAUAUGGAGCAACUUUAUGACUUGCAUGAUGCAAUUGUAGAUCUGGUUGCGCCGCAUUCAGUUUUCUCUCACUCAAGGCAAGGAUGUUGAAUACAUCAAAUCUGUCGUAAACCGUGCGCUUCUUAGUCUACCACAAAGCAAGCGUAUAAAGUUUCUAACGCAGACUGCUAUCCUGGAGUUCAAGUGUGGGGUGGCUGAGGAAGGGAGAUCCAGAUUUGAGCUGAUCCUAAGGGAGUAUCCGAAAAGAACAGAUAUUUGGAGCGUUUACCUAGACCAGGUAAUAUUGCAUUAGCAAACCGUCAACCUGUCUGUUAUUCUGUCAACUUUACCAGUCUCAUUGACAAGCAUGAUUUCUUUUAGGAAAUUCGACUUGGUGACACCGAAAUAAUACGGGCAUUGUUUGAUAGGGUGACAUGCCUUAGUCUACCUCCAAAAAAGAUGAAGGUUUGGCUCAUUCUUUGUAUAUUCUACUCAAAACACGAACAUUAUCUCUCUUCACUGCUAUCUGUCCCUGCCCUGCAUAAUAUCUCUUGCCAUUCAGAAUUUGAUGCCAUCGCUUGCUUUAUUACCGUUCCCUGCAUUGAUAUAAGUUUUUUGAUGCCAUGGUCGUCAUUUACAGUUCUUGUUCAAGAAAUACCUGCGAUACGAGAAGGCUCAGGGCGAUGAAGAAAGAAUCGAGCAUGUGAAGCAGAAGGCAAUGGAGUACGUUGAGAUUUCUAGAGCCUGAUUUGCAAAAGACAUGCGGAGGCACUGCUCCUGCUCCUGCAAUGCGCGGGAGGCGUCUGCUUGCCGGGGAUUCAUGCAAUCGUUUAUUGUGACCUGCAGCCUGGGUUUGCUUCUAAUGAGACGUCUACAUUCUUAUUUUUACGCUGAGGUUGUGCAGAGAAUGUGCCAGUCAGGGCUGCAGCUUUUAUGCAGACUGCAGUCCGCCAAUUUUGGUGUUGUUACACUUGUGAUGUAUGUAUUGCUAUUAAUAGGAAAGAUAGAUGACUAUUCAAUUUUGUUUCAAACACCUCACUAACUAUUCGAGCUGUUGGGAUGUGUUUUGAAUUUGUGAACUCAUCGUUAGAAAUUGUGAGUGGGGACUGAGAAGUUUCUUCGCUAGCCUUGGAAGUGCACCAUAGUGUCAAAUGUUACUACGUUCUGACGUUGAAAGAAUGCUGCUCUCUCCGUCUCUUAUACAUAAUAAGUGUCGUGGUUUAAGUUCAAAUUCCAUAAAUGAGUGUGUGGUUUUAGUUCAAAUUUGACUAUUAAUAGUUGUGUACUUAAAAAUAUAGAGAAACUCUUGUGAACUUUUUCAUCGUUUUGGGAUUUUCACCAUGAGCUAAUUCAAUUGUUUUCAUACUGGUAAAGACUGGCUUGGCUUGGCUAGGGCUCUGGGCCUACUCUUCCGGCGAAGCUUGCCUUGACAGCUUGACGCACUUCUGUUUUUUUACUUUCCAUCACCAAAACACUAGCAAAUCACAGUUAUAUAGUAUCACAAUGGAUAAUACAUAUUUUAGUGAUCCUUCAGUCCAAUAUAGUACUGUUCAUAAUUAACAUCUCUUGUCUAAUGUUCGAUGAUACCUUUUGUGAUUUAUAAGGAAAACGCUGGCCUUCAGCCGGCGGAUCCGUCGUCUCGUACGUGCGAUGCGUGGCUCACCUUGAAUUAUCUCUUGAACUUUUGUAAUUGAGCUCUUAUUGCAGUUUGCCCACCAAAACUGCUAUACGUACGAUUCUUUUUAAUCGGACACUGCUACGAUCAGAGAGCAGAUGCUAUGGUCCACAAACUGAUAAUCUGUGAUUUGUCUCUAAUCGUACUGAGUGUUGGACGAAAAUUCAUCGUACGUAUAGCAAGGUUCUUUGCCCACCACAACAACUUAUGUGUUGUAGGAUCUGGAUCCUUGAGGGUUGUUGCCCGCGCAGCCGAGGCACCCUGCUGCCGCUCCCUAUCUUCCUCUCGCUACACUUGUUGCCCCGCUGCAUCUAACGGCACUGCCCCUGCGACGUCACCGAUGCCGGACCGAAGCUCCAUGGAAGCGAUCGGGCUCGCCUGUCGCCGGACUCUACCGCCGCGGUCGAGCUGUGCUUGGCUGCCACCGCCUGGAUCUGCUUGUCCCCAGCCCUUCUUUGCACCUCACCGUUCGUCCCGUGUCGCCGGCAUGUGUGUUGCCGCCGAUUACCAGUUCGCCGCCUCUAUCUGGGAAAAAGAAUACUGCAACAUCAUCUUUGUUGCAAAAAAAUUUCUGCAACAAGAACUAUGUUGCGAAAAAUUCUGUAACAAGUCCUCUGUUGCAAAAAAAAAAUCUUGUUGCAAAAUAAUUCUGUAACAAGACCUUUGUUGCAUUUUUUUUGCAACAUCACCUCUGUUGGAAAGGUUUUUACAACACGGCGUAUGUUAGAAAUGUUUCUGCAACACCACUCUUAUUGCAAGAGAGGUGACACACAUGGAUGAGUAGAUCGGACGGCCCCCCGCAUCAAUCCAACGCCCAACGGCGAAUAUUUUCUAGUUAUCGGUCAGCUGAUGCGUAGUAGCCCCUAAUUUAUAAUGCAUGUCUAAUUAAUAUGUGUAAUUAAUUGCUUGACUAAUUAAUUUCAUGCACUAGUGGACGAGGCAGAGAUUGGGCAAAAGACAAUUGGGAUGAAUUUUGGGCUGCGCUACACGUCGGCCGGUGGAUUAGUUAAAAACAUCCGCCGCCUGGCUGGCCGUUGGAUGGACGCGCUGCUGGCCGUCCAAUGUACCACCCACGUUCCCCACCUCCCUUUUGCAACAAGUGCGGUGUUGCAGAGACAAGGGUCGUGCUACGCGUCUGUCGGUUGAAGUUCGGGAAGGUUCGACCACCUCCCACGCCGUUAGAUCUUCCCACGUGAGCGUCACAAAUUGCAACAAGCUAGUUGUUACGGUCAUCUCUCUACAACAACGACUUUGUUGCAAACCACACUGAAGAGUUAUCGUGUGACUUCACGAAUUGCAACAAGUUGGUUGUUGCUGAAACAAAGACUUUGUGCGGAGACGUGAUGUAACUUUUGCAACAAUGGUUUUGUUGCAGAAAUUUUUGCAAUUGUGGUGAUGUUGCAGAAAAAAAUGUCUCCACUUUUAUGCAACAAAGGCAAUGUUGCAGAAUUUUUUUUGCCUUCACAUUCAUGCAACGUAGGUGAUGUUGCGGAGCAAGUUUCGCAACAUUACAGAUGUUGCGGAAUUUAUUUGCAAUGAAUAGGGUUGGCCAGGUAGUAGGGACCAAGCACGUGCACCAAGUCUUCAUGCGAGUCACGCGCCCUCACGAUCCAGUGGACCAAUGGGCCGCGAUCUGACGGCCGCGCGAGCGACGGAUGCAGCGAGAAAGAUCGGCAGGUUGAUUGAAAGAUUUUCCAUGUUUUUUUGGUGCAUGCGAACGAAUGAAACGACUACACGACCCCCUUUAAUAAUUGUAAUAUGCAACAAUCCAAAAAAUAGUCUAACAAGAAUUAAAAUCCAUACAUGAUUCACACCAUUAUUGAGUCACAAGUGCAAUAAGAUAUCCCAAGCAACUAGCAAGUGAAGGAAUAAAAUGUGCACCAACACACACAUGCGAAUAGCAGUACAUAAAACAUUGGUAUCAAAUUCUCAGCCAUAAAAAGGACCGGGCCAACAAAACAUAAGAGCACACAUAAGGGCCCCUUUGAUUUGUAGGAUUCAAAACGCGAGAAUAGGAAAAACAUAGGAUUAGAAUGUCAUACUCAUCUCAAUUCUACAAGAUUCUGGAUUGUUUGAUCACUUCAUAGGAAAAAUAAAUAAUUCUUUCUAACAUGUUUGAGUGGAUGCUAGAAAUCCUAUGAGAAGUAGUACAAAGAAAUCCUUAGAUUUUUUUUCUAUAAGAUCUAAUCCUAUGAGUCAAACAACCAAUGUACGAAAAAUUCCUAACGGUUAUAAUCUUGCAAGAUUUCUAACAACAUUCUCUAAAUCAGAGGAGCUAUAAGAGAAGUUUUUUAUUAUUAAAACUGGACACUUCACUAUGAAAGAACAAUAAUGUGCAACUCGCCCUGCCUUAACAAGGCGAAUGACUAACAACAUGGUCCCAACACAAAGGAUCAUAUAUACUCCUUGCAUCUGAGCAUCAAUUUGUACCAACUCAUGUGCUACACAAUCUGGAGAGCGCCUGCAUGCUUUUUUUACACAGGAGGAAAACACAUAUAACAUUUUUUUUUGAGAAAUCACCACUUUAUUCAAAAAUGUAUAGUGAGGUAAUGGAGGAGGCGCUCGCGCACAAUCGUGUUCGCCAGGGAGGGCUCCUCCUCCUCCACGGCCUUGCCGUGCCAGUUGUGGCGUGACGGUGACACCGACCGGUCGUAAGUGCUGCGGAGCAGGGAAGGAGGCUCCUCUUUGAUGCGGCGUCCGAUNNNNNNNNNNNNNNNNNNNNNNNNNNNNNNNNNNNNNNNNNNNNNNNNNNNNNNNNNNNNNNNNNNNNNNNNNNNNNNNNNNNNNNNNNNNNNNNNNNNNNNNNNNNNNNNNNNNNNNNNNNNNNNNNNNNNNNNNNNNNNNNNNNNNNNNNNNNNNNNNNNNNNNNNNNNNNNNNNNNNNNNNNNNNNNNNNNNNNNNNNNNNNNNNNNNNNNNNNNNNNNNNNNNNNNNNNNNNNNNNNNNNNNNNNNNNNNNNNNNNNNNNNNNNNNNNNNNNNNNNNNNNNNNNNNNNNNNNNNNNNNNNNNNNNNNNNNNNNNNNNNNNNNNNNNNNNNNNNNNNNNNNNNNNNNNNNNNNNNNNNNNNNNNNNNNNNNNNNNNNNNNNNNNNNNNNNNNNNNNNNNNNNNNNNNNNNNNNNNNNNNNNNNNNNNNNNNNNNNNNNNNNNNNNNNNNNNNNNNNNNNNNNGAGGGAGGCGUCAGACCGUGACCGCUCAAGGACUCCAAGUGCGCCUGGUACUCCUCAUUCGUCAUGGCGGCCUCCGUGAGGAGCGGCGGAUCCUCCUCGUCGCUGAAGGAGAGCAUGAUCUCCUCCAUGUCUUCCAAUGUCGGAGGAGGAAGGGUCCGGAGAAUGUGGCCUACGACGCCAAGAUCCGUCGAAAGAGUCGAAUCCACCCGCCGGUGCAGAAAACCAACCUUUGUGGCCAGACUUUCCCACCGUGGAGGAGAUGAGAGGAGUGACGACGGUGGUGAGCCGAGAGGAGAGGAGCUCCUCGGCGGAUGUGCAGAGGAUACAAAAUGUGCUUUGGCCGACACUCUGUUUGAAUAGUUGGGGCAUGUAAAAUGACGCCGAUUCAAUGCAACAUAACGAUCGGAAUAGGCUUCUCGGUCGCCGCGUCCGCAUUAAAGCGGCGUCGUCCUCCCACGCGAUCGCGUCUCUUUGAUCGGUGUCGAGGCCGUCGAGUCGCGUCCGCUAUAGAGCGCCGAACCAGCCAAACCAGCACGAAUGCGCGGUGAUCAUUCUAGAGCGGGACGCAUGGCGCUGAGUUUGAUGCUAGUUUGCACGAAUUCGGACACGGCGAUCUGAGGGACGGGCGUUGGAUGCCUUCUUCUGAAUGUAACCUGGCAUACUCGUUGGAACGCUGCCAAGAUCCCAUAUUCCUGAAUGUAAACAUAAAUCCCAUAGUAUUCCAUAGCGCAGACCUAAAUUGAACACGCUCCCGCAACUGUAACGGCUCCCCUCGCGCGCCGACCGUCCCGCCUCCGCCGCCGCUCAUCGUCGUCGUCCUCCUCCUAGCCGACGUCCGGCUUCCGCCUCCGCAACUCCUCCUCUCCCUAGCCGACGUCCCUCCGCGGCUGCUCCUCUCCCAUCUCGCCGAUGUCCCGCCCCCGCCUCCGCCACUGCUCCUGCUUCACCACGCCCAUGUCCCGCAUCCGCUUCCGCCGCCGCCUCUCCUCUUCCACCUCACGACCCACACCCUCCUGGUCUCCCCGCGCCGCCUUUGCGGCGGCCACGGAGCGCGUCCGCGACGGAACGCUCAGCCCGCAAGACGCACACCACCUGUUCGACGAAUUGUUUCAGCAGGCCACCCCGGUCCCCGACCGCCCCCUCAACGGAUUCCUUGCCGCCCUCACCCGUGCCACGCCCUCCGAGGCCUGCAGAGACGGCCCUGCUCUCGCCCUCUCCCUCUUCAACCGUGUCUACCGAGAAGAAGCCGGCAUGCGGGUGGCGCCGCCGACCAUCUUCACCUACGGCGUCCUCAUGAACUGCUGCUGCCGCAUGCGUCGUCCGGAACUUGGGCUCGCCUUCUUCGGCCGCCUCCUAAGGACGGGCCUGAAGGAAGACAAGAUCGUCGCCAACACUGUCCUCAAGUGCCUGUGCUGCGCUAAACGGGCAGACGACGCUGUGAAAGUGCUGCUUCAUACGAUGACCGAGCUGGGGUGUGUGCCUGAUGCCUUCUCAUACGCCAUUGUCCUGAAGAGCUUAUGUGAUGAUAACAGGAGCCAGCAGGCGCUCUACCUGCUCCGGAUGAUGGCGAAAGAAGAAGGUGUGUGCUCCCCUGACGUGGUCACAUAUAACACCGUCAUUCAUGGCUUCUUUAAGGAAGGAAAAAUAGGCAAGGCCUGCAAUCUAUUCCAUGAAAUGACGAAGCAAGGGUUUGUGCCUAAUGUGGUGACAUAUAACUCGGUUAUCAAUGCAUUGUGCAAGGCCCGAGCAAUGGACAAUGCAGAGUUGUUCCUUCGGCAGAUGGUUGAUAACGGCGUUCAACCGAAUAAAGUGACAUAUACUAGCAUGAUCCAUGGAUAUUCCACUUUGGGCCAGUGGAAAGAGGCGACUAAACUGUUCAGAGAAAUGACAAGCAGUGGUCUUAUACCAGAUAUUGUCACUUGGAACUCGUUCAUUGACUCCCUUUGCAAGCAUGGAAGGAGCAAAGAAGCUGCAGAAAUUUUUCAUUCCAUGUCUGCAAAGGGCCACAAGCCUGAUAUCAUCUCCUACACCACUCUUCUUCAUGGGUAUGCCAAUGAAGGAAGCUUUCCUGAUAUGAUGAGUCUCUUUAAGUCAAUGGAAGGCGACGGUACUGUAGCCAACUGCCAAUUUUUCAACAUAUUAAUUGAUGCAUAUGCUAAACGAGGAAUGAUGGACGAAGCUAUGCUCAUAUUUACUGAAAUGCCAGGACAAGGAGUCAAUCCAAAUGUAGUCACCUAUUCAACUGUGAUAGCUUCACUUUGCAGAAUGGGUAGGCUGGCUGAUGCAAUGAAUAAGUUCAGUGAGAUGAUUGGUACGGGAGUACAACCGAACACAGUUGUUUAUCACUCCCUAGUUCAGGGCUUAUGUACACAUGGUGAUUUGGUGAAAGCGAAGGAGUUGAUUUCUGAAAUGAUGAAUAAAGGUAUUCCUCGUCCAAACAUUGCAUUCUUCAGUUCAAUAGUACACAGUCUAUGCAAAGAAGGAAGGGUUAUGGAUGCACACCAUAUCUUUGACUUGGUUAAAGACAUAGGGGAGAGAUCUGACAUCAUUAUGUUUAAUACGCUGAUUGAUGGAUAUUGCCUAGUCGGUGAGAUGGGCAAAGCAGUCAGUGUACUAGAUGUCAUGAUAUCAGCCGGCAUUGAGCCUGAUAUCUUUACAUAUAAUACACUUGUCAAUGGUUAUUUUAAGAGUGGAAGGAUCGAUGAUGGGUUGAAUCUGUUCAGAGAAAUGUCACAUAAGAAAAUUAAACCUACAACUGUUACAUAUAACAUCAUACUGGAUGGAUUAUUUCGUGCUGGGAGAACCGUUGCUGCCAAGAAAAUGCUCCAUGAGUUGAUCGGAUGUGGAACAACAGUGAGCUUGUCCACAUACAACAUAAUUCUUAAAGGACUUUGUAGAAAUAAUUGCACCGACGAAGCAAUCGUCAUGUUCCAGAAAUUACACACAAUUAAUGUAAAGUUCAAUAUCACAACACUCAAUACCAUGAUUAAUUCAAUGUACACUGUUCAGAGAAGAGAAGAAGCUAAAGAUUUGUUUGCUGCAAUAUCAGACAGCGGGUUGGUGCCCAAUGCCUCUACAUACGGCAUAAUGAUACGAAAUCUUCUAAAAGAAGGAUCAGUGGAAGAAGCUGACAGUAUGUUCUUAUCAAUGGAGAGGAGUGGUUGUGCUCCUUGCUCUCGUCUUUUAAAUGAUACUAUUAGAACGUUAUUGGAGAAGGGGGAGAUAGUCAAGGCCGGAAAUUAUAUGUCUAAAGUUGAUGGCAAGAGCAUCUCACUUGAAGCUUCAACUUGUUCAUUGUUGUUGUCUCUGUUUUCUGGGAAAGGUAAAUAUCGUGAACAAAUACAAUUGCUCCCUGUAAAAUACCAAUUCUUCGGUGGAGUUAGUUGAUGCACUGGAAUCAGCAGAUAAGUGUUCGUGUGGUUUGGAGCUCCUCCCUCUCAACGGUGUGGACAAGUGCCUCACCAAGAUUGAGCUGGGUGAUGGUGCCACACUGCCACCAUGGUGUUCUGGUCGGUGCUUAGCUGCUGGGCGUGUAUCCUAUGGACAUCGCUCCUAAAUCCUAAUCUGUACGCCACCUCCACGCAUGGGCCAUCUGGUGUGUGAUGUGUUUGCUAAUGGUAAAAGAUAUCAAGCUAUUUGGAGUUCUCUGAACCUCAGCAUAUCAAGUGUGUUUUGGGCCGAUGGCAGUUAUAGUAAAAUCAAUGAACUAUUCUACAUCAUCAAGCUGUUUGGCGUUCUCUGAACCCCCCAGCACCAGGAGCUUGAUGAUUUUACUACCUGACCGAUCUCGAGGUAUUGAAACCUGUGUACAUAAAGUUUGAACUUUCAUUCAGUCUCCUGUACAUCCUCCAGUUUAUGAUGAAUGGAUAUUUACUCCCAGAAAAGACAGAAUGAGCAUUGUGUAGUGAUCUAAUUUUCUUAUGGUUUUGUAUAUAUACCUUUAGUUGUAGCACUAGCUAAUUAAAAAAAUGUAAGUAUGUCCACAGUUUAUUCUUGUUAUCAUUCUAUUUUUUUCCAGGAAGCUUUCCUCACUUGUAGUAGCAUUAAAAAACUAGAAGUUCCAGCAACAUUAUGCAUUGACAUUUAAUUAGAUAAAAAAACCAUAAAUUAUACCAGCUCCAAUAAUUUGGUAAAGCUGGAUGAUCAGCUUCUGAGAAAGACCAUCAUCUUUUGUAGGCCAUCUAACAAAGCUCAAGGUAAUUUACAUGUCAUCCCUGCUAAAACUGAAAUCAUUCUGAACUCCUUGGGAGAGGCAGAUCACAUCUCUGAAGUAUCUUGGCAUACAUAUUUAGAUUAAAGCCAUACACAGGAGUAUAAAACAUCUCGACAUCAUAACUGAUGAGAGCUCGUUAUUUUCUUGCUAUUUAUACCUUGAGAACAUUGUUUUUCAUCUUGCUAACUGAACCUGCACAUUUUUCUCCAGAUGAAGUUUUUGUGAAGAGAAAGUAAAUUGUUAUCUUGUCAUCCAGUGGAUUGGUUAGUGAAAUUGGCACUUCUGGUCAUCUAACGUUGCUCCAACAUGUACGUUCUAUAAAUAUAUCUUUUCAGACUUCCUCAUAGAACAUAUUCUUGCCUUAGUUGUUAGUCUCUGAAUUAACAGUGCUUGCAUUUCUGGACAUGUAUGGCCAUUGACCCUUCCCCGGACCCUGCGCAAGCGGGAGCUAUAUGCACCGGGCUGCCCUUUAUGGCCAUUGACUGCUCAAUGCUAUGUCUCUUUCUAAACUACAUUAACAAAUUACCAUAGGAACUUAAACUACAUGCUUGUAAAAAGUUAAAAUUAUCUUUGUAUUUUAUUGUUAAACAGUAUUUGUCUGACUUUUUCAAACAUGGUACGCAUGUCAAACCUCGAGUUGAGUUCUUUUUUGUUUUUGAGCUUGAAGUAGUACUCCCUCCGUUCACUUUUGUAAGUCGUUUAGGACAGCUGAAAUUGAACUGUUUUAGGUGGUGUCUUAAAUGUCUAAAACGUCUUCAAAAGUGAAUGGAGGGAGUACUAAACAUCUCAAUGCAAAAGCUCAUUGUGCAAAUCAGGGGAAUUUAUUCUAUCAUACUUAAACCUUUGUUUCUAAGAGCUUCGUGUUACUUUGCAUUUCGAGGGAUCUAUCUCACCUCAAUCUCCCAGGAUCAAUACCUGAUUUUUUGCCAUCACUUAUGUGUAUGUAUGUGUCCUUCCUGAUCUGACUCCGUGUUUCCAAACUGUGCAGCACAGAGCCCCUUAAAUAUGCUAUUUCUUCGUCUGUGAUGUAGAUUCACCCACAAAGCAGCAGUGUGUCAAUCAUGAUUUCGGGAGAAUUCGUCAUGCUGAUAUGGUGCCCUAACCAAAGCCAGGCUGUCAGUCUACAUCUUAUGCAUGGGUUGCACCUGAUAAUAUAUUUAAGGUCUUAAAAGUUUGUAUUAUGCAAUCUCAAUUUUUGUUUAGGAAAUAAUUGCCAAAUUCAGCCCUAGUUACCUACUGCAAGAUUUUUAUGUUUACUGAGCUAAUAUGCUCUUCAGAACUAUUCUUAUUAGGUUACCAAAUUGUUCUCUCAUGUGAUGAGGAACGUGUUUAUCAUACGAACAAGUAUUUGCUUGUCAUUGAACUGGAGGAUUUACUUAUUCUUUUUAUAUAAUUUAGCUAUUGUACUGUAUAAAGUUUACUUGGGCCUUCUUUUUCGGACUGAUAAAUCACGGUGGCUUAAUCCAGUAUAUCCAUUUGCUAGCAUCUGUUUUUUUUUUUGCGGGAUGCUAGCAUCUGUGUUUUACCACCCUGCACAGAGAAUAAGGCCCUGUUCGGUAAUGGUCCGCUCCCGGAAUCUGCGGAGCGGGUGACUGGCAACUCCACCAUUUUGACCUACAGCUCCGCCAACUCCGCUCCGGGAGCUGUGGAGCGGAGCGAUGCCGAACAGCCCAUAAGUUGUCGUUGCCAUCCUAAUCCUAAUCCUAUCCUUCGUUUUCUUCCCUUUAAUUUUCUUUCCCAGUAACUAUUGUUUAAUGCAGCACUGAUCAAUUGUAAAAGUGAGGGUCAUCUCCUUACAUAUUUUCAGGGAGCACAUGCCUCUCUGCCGACCACUUGCAGAAAUGCAAAAAUUUUAUGAGAGCCAACGAUGCCAUCUCAGCGAUGCAGGUCCCUUUGAUCUCUCUGAAGUUGAAAGCUUUUGACUCGGCAUCACAUGGUGUGUGUUUCGAUCUUACCCCGACAAAUGCGAUAUGCUAAAAAAGCAAAAAUGGAAAAAAAUUCACUAAGCUAACACGAGCUAUUUCGGGGGACGCCUCUUGGAGACCCUAGCAGCUAUCGACGCAUUGCUAAAACUUUGUAAUGGUGAUUGGUGCAGAGCUUAUCUUUCACUUACACCAAUACACCAAACUACUUUUGAAACUCAAGCAUUAUGUCAGAUUUGACUCGCCCAGGUUGAUGCGCUUGUUCUGGUGCAUCAGUGACGCUUCCAUCGUUGUCAAUGGCAUUUCGUAUAUCCCGAGAUUGAUUACAAGCGCAACACAGGCUCCACCAAGAGGACCCAAUGUCUCCCUGCUUCCUCAUCUUGGUCGCCGACAUGCUCCAACGCUAAUCAUUAAUGAUGACCACAAUCGAUCACACAUGAAACCCCUUGGCUGAUGAUCUCCCUUGCCCUGUAAUCCAAUUGCUAUGACACCGACUCCAUCUCGCUCCUGUGCGGUCGACGAGCCAUAUCUCCACCGUGUUGUGGUUCUGAUCUUAAAUUCAACAGAAACACAAGAGAACGAGAAGAACAAGGGGAAAUCCCAAUUCAUUAUGGCUAGUUACAUACUGUACAAUGUACUCCCUCCGUCUCAUAAUGUAAGACGCUUUUUGAAACUACACUAAUGUUAAAAAAUGUCUUACAUUAUGGGACAAAAGGAGUAGUAAACAGUAAAAUGGGCAAUUAAAUGAUAGCUCCUGCCCCCUCUUGCGUGCAUCCACCUUGGACUCGAAAAAACACGCGAUUCUCAUCGAGGAGUUGCGGACCAUCGUCGAUGAGCUUUGCCACCAAGGAGGCAUGGUCGCACUCGGCCUUGAGUUGUGCCUUGGCCUAGCAGUGCUCCUUCUCCUCGUCUCGAGAGAUAACCUUAACGGGAGGCACGAUGAAGGCCGUGAAGGGAAGGGAGGAAGUGAAGUCUUGUCCAACUCCUGAAUUAUAGUGGAGUGUCGCUGUGUCGUACGCGUGCCGCCACCUCUGCGGUGUUAGAAGGUGCCAAGCCACACGCGUGCGCCCGUGUCCGGGUUUUGGAACUCCUCGGCAUAGUUGCUCGACGAUUGGUGCCUUACACCCUAGUACGAUGAGGAGGAGCUCGUGGGCAUCUGACACGAAGGUGGAAGCAAUUGCAACAUCCCUUACCAUGAGAAGGAGCUCGAGAGCGGUCGGUGUGGCGAGGAAUUGGGUUGUGGCGGGGAGCUUGGGGGUGGCCAGAAUCGAGCAGGUGGAGCAGAUACGCCGGCGGGGAGCUCGAAUCCGGUGGCAAUCCGUUUAGGCGGCGGGAAUGGGGGCGGGCCUCCGGGCAGCCAAGGGAGUGGUGACAGGGACAGGCGACUAGAUUCGCGUGAGGCAUCCACCGCGGUGGGGAAACUUCAGGGGCGGAAAGAUGCGUUCCCGCAGGCGUGAUUUGCGUUUUAGGUAUUCAGCGGGUGCAGACCCGUAUUUGCCAAGCCUAUAACGGCUAUAAUCCCAAAAAUUAAGUUUUGACCGCCAUGCGAAUUUAGAUAUGAUAUUAGGGCAUCUUCAAAAUUAAGUUUUGACCGCCAUGCAAAUUUAGAUAUGAUAUUAGGGCAUCUUCAAUGGCAUCUCUUAUAUCGUACACACCAUCCUUUUGCUGACGCGGAUAUGAGAGCUAGUCACUCAACUGCGUGCCCAAAAAGUCCGCCGGUAUUUCAAAUGAAAAUUGAACCAAAAGGAAAAAUUUCAUGCAAACCAAAUAAAUUUCAUGCAAACCGCUCAAGGUGCUACUCCCUCCGUUCCAAAAUAGAUGACCCAACUUUGUACUAAAAUUAGUAUAAAGUUGAGUCAUCUAUUUUAAAACGGAGAGAGUAGGUGGUAACCUCGUGUGCAUGGCCUUCCUGGCCGACGGGACCUUCCUCGCCGUCCGCCCUGUCACUGUCGUCAUGGUCCUUCUAGCAAUGAAAGGGCAUGUAUGGGCCAUGGCAACUUGGAUUCGCCACCUCCUACCGCUCGGCUUUCUCCUCCGCCGCCAUGCGCACGACCGUGUCAGCAACGGGCGCCAUCCCGGUCUGCCCGCCCCACGCCUUGCCCUUACCGAUGACGAGGACGGCAGCGCGCAACGAGUUGGCCACACGAAUCUUGACGUGUUAGCCACCCAAUCGAUGAGAGGAACCCUAGCCGUGUUUUCUAUCACACUAGUUGUGAGAAGAGACUCAUUAUUCUAGAUAACGACAUACGGUCGUACAAUUAAUCUUACUCCUUCCACAUCAUAAAUAAAGUGAUGCAUUGCACAGGCCUUCAGUCAAAAUCUUAGAUCUUGACUACAAGUAUCAUUUAAAUUAUUGACAUUUUCAAUUUGAAAAUCAUACAUAUUGAUUUGCCUCAAAAAAUAUUAGAUCUUGGCGUGAUAGAAAAAUAUAGGAGUGGUAUAUGACAGUAUGAUCUGCCUCCACAAGCAAAGCAAAGCAAAGCUAUAUCAGUCCCGUCCCGCCUCCCCCGCCGUCGAUGUCCAGCCUCCACCUCCUCCUUCACUCCCACCCCGCCGCCCUCACGCUCCUGGUCUCCGCACGCCGCCUUUGCCGCUGCUACAGAGCGUGUCCGCGCCGGGACGCUCAUCCCGGAAGACGCACACCACCUGUUCGACCAAUUGCUACAGCAGUCCACUCCGGUCCCCGACCAAGCCCUGAACAGCUUCCUUGCCGCCCUCGCUCGUGCCCGUGCGCCAGACACCGACGCCUGCAGAGACGGCCCGGUGAUGGCAAAGAGGGAAGGAGCCAGCAAGCGCUCGACCUGCUCCAUGUGAUGGCAAAAGGAGAUGGUUGCUCCCCCGACGUGGUGGCUUAUAGCACGGUCAUCUAUGGCUUUUUUAAGGAAGGUGAAGUAGGCAAGGCAUGCAAUCUAUUCCAUGAAAUGAUGCGACAAGGGGUUGUGCCUAAUGUGGUGACGUAUAGCUAUAGAUGCAUUGUGCAAGGCUGGAGCAAUGGGUAAGGCAGAGUUGUUCCUUCGGCGAAUGGUUGAUAACAGUGUUCAACCGGAUAGGGUGACAUAUACUAGCAUGAUCCAUGGAUAUUCCACUUUGGGCCGGUGGAAAGAGGCGACGAAAAUGUUCAGAGAAAUGACAGGCAGGGGCCUUAUACCAAAUAUUGUCACUUGGAACUCGUUCAUGGCCUACCUUUGCAAGCAUGGAAAAAGCAAAGAAGCUACAGAAAUUUUCUUUUCCAUGGCUGCAAAGGGCAAUAAGCCUAAUAUCAUCACCUACGGUAUUCUUCUUCAUGGGUAUGGCAAUGAAGAAAGCUUUGUUGAUAUGAUGAGUCUCUUUAAUUCAAUGAAAGGCAACGGUAUUGUGGCCAACCGCCAGGUUUUCAACAUAUUAAUUGAUGCAUAUGCUAAACGAGGACUGAUAGAUGAAGCUGUUCUCAUACUUACUGAAAUGCGGGGACACGGACUGAGUCCGGAUGUAUUACCGAAAAAGGGUUUCCCCCCGCUUUGUAUACAAAGCAACCAACCGAACCAUACAGAGAUAGGUGCUGGGGCGGAAGCAGCACAGUCACGCCCAAAAGAAACGACAGAGAAAGAGCAAAAGAAACAAAUGCCGACAACGGCGGAUCAACAAAAACGAAGAAGCCUCGCGAUCGCUGCACCCACCGGGAUCUUCCACUAGGCUCCAAGACUCCGAAGCGCUGGCACCUAUCAACACCUCCAAGAAGGAUCGGGACGAUGACGACGCUGCUGCCAAGGGUUUCCACCGGUACACGACGAGGCGAGAGGAAGGGUAGCCCCCGAUGCCCUCUCAGAAGGCCAGGUGGCACCCACAGGCGCCACCGCGCCGGUGUCGGCCACAGUCCGGAUGUAUUCACCUAUUCAACUCUAGUAUCUGCACUUUGCAGAAUGGGUAAGCUAGCUGAUGCUAUGGAUAAGUUCAGUGAGAUGAUUGGUACGGGAGUACAACCAGGCACAGUUGUUUAUCACUCCCUAAUUCAGGGUUUCUGUACACAUGGCGAUUUGGUGAAAGCAAAGGAGUUGGUAUAUGAAAUGAUGAACAAAGGUAGUCCUUGUCCAAACAUUGCAUUCUUCAGUUCAAUAGUAGACAGUCUAUGCAAAGAAGGAAGGGUUAUGGAUGCACACCAUAUCUUUGACUUGGUUAAAGACAUAGGUGAGAGACCUGACAUCAUUAUGUUUAAUACGCUGAUUGACGGAUAUUGCCUAGUCGGUGAGAUGGAGAAAGCAUGUGGUGUAUUUGAUGCCAUGGUAUCAGCUGUCGUUGAGCCUGAUGUCAUUACCUAUAGUACACUUGUCAGUGGAUAUUGUAAAAGUGGAAGGAUCGAUGAUGGGUUGAAUCUGUUCACAGAAAUGUUGCAUAAGAAAGUUAAACCUACAACUGUUACAUAUGGCACCAUACUGGAUGGGUUAUUUUGUGCUGGGAGAUCUGCUGCUGCAAAGAAAGUGUUCCAUGAGAUGAUCGAAAGUGGAAUAAUGGUGAGCAUUUCUACAUAUAAUAUAAUUCUUGGAGGACUUUGUAGAAAUAAUUGCGCAGAUGAAGCGAUCGUCCUAUUCCAGAAAUUGUGUGCAAUGAAUGUGAAGUUCAAUAUCACAACACUCAAUACCAUGCUUAAUGCAUUCUACAAGGUUCAAAGAAGAGAAGAAGCUAGUGAUUUGUUUGCUGCAUUACCAGCCAGCGGGUUGGUGCCUAAUGCUUCUACUUACGGAGUAAUGAUACAAAAUCUUCUAAAAGAAGGAGCGGUGGAAGAAGCUGACAGUAUGUUCUCAUCAAUGGAGAAGAGUGGUUGUGCUCCUAGCUCUCGUUUUUUAAAUUAUAUCAUCAGAACGUUAUUGGAAAAAGGGGAGAUAGACAAGGCCGGAAAAUAUAUGUCUAAAGUUGAUGGGAAGACUAUUUUGCUUGAAGCUUCAACUACUUCAUUGCUGAUGUCCCUCUUUUCAAGGGGAGGCAAAUAUCAGGAGCACAUACUCUUGCUCCCUGCAAAGUAUCAACUUUUUAGUGGAGUGAACCACAGUUGAGUACUUGAUACAUUGUUUAUGAUCUUAACUGCUCAGAAGGUACAGUUGAGUUGUUGGUAUAAGAAAUGCAAGUUACCUGCUUGUGGAAAGUCGGUCCUUCAUUAUUUCAUUGACUGCAUCUUUUGGUGUGUUGAAACCGCUAGAAUGUGAAGUAUCUGUGAAUCUUUUAAUCUUUGUUGGACGAGGAAAGGUGGACUGAGUUAUCUAACUCAAAUGGUUGCAAUUUUUGGAAUAACGGUUUUUGCUUGCCAACAGGGAAGGUAUCGAUAUGUGUUCUUUCCAGAAGAAGCGCAAUGAAUACAAAUGCAAUCUUUUGUAACAUGAAUUUUUAACCGAAAUCUGUAGGGAAGGCCUGAAUGGUAAAUCUUUAUUGAAAAACAAGCAGAUGGGUGUACAAGAUUAGAGGAGAAUCUGCAAAGCAAGAGGGGCGAAAGAACAGAGCUAAACAGGAUCCCCAGCCCAGAAACCCUCCCCUCCAAACGAAGAUACGUGCCACCUUUGAAAAUGGAGCAAGAGGCUGCAGAUCUGAACUAAACAGCAAGCUUGAACACAUCGCUUGACACGAGGAAUAUCCAAUUUGUUAUAAAACUUGUGCAGAAACUUCAGUACAAGCUCAUUGAUUGAAAAGUUGAUAAUAACUAAGCUCCCACGGUUUUUGGGUAAGCAAACCUUAACACAAGCUGAAUUUAAUUAUGUCUUUGGGUAAGCAAACCUUUGUGUAAGUUUGGCUUUGGCCAUUUCAUAGCAGAAUUUGAUGUGUAGUUCAGUGCAUCAUUUAAUUAUGUCCAUGGCUUUGCAAAAAAUGUUUCUAUGUAGUUAUUUGGUGUUUCUCUUGGCAAUGUUUACCUGUAAAGCUUUAUGAAAGCUGUAGUAAUUUGACAUCGUUUGCAUAGUAAUGGUUGCAGAAGAAACAUGAUAGCAGGUUUCUCUUGUUCCAUGCUUUGUUUGCUACAGAUUUAGAGGUCAUCCUGUUGCUAGUUAUAAGGGGUUUAGUAAUUUUUUAUUUGUUCCUUUAUGUUUAUGUGAACAGUUUUUGGUGUUUCUAAGAACUUAAGCAGACAGUUACUUGUAUGGGAAAAGAAAAGAUAACGCCGACCCAUGUUCUGUUCCUAUUCUAGUAUUCUGUAAGAACGAAAUUACUGGACCAUUGUGAAGAAGGUAACACGCACUGAUCUACCUUAGCCCCAAAUUGCUUCCUUUUUGUAAGGGAAUGCUUCAUUUCUUCCUCUCCAGGACAACAAACUUUUAUUGAAGCAACAAUUACUGAUCUUGUGUUUUCUGCCAAUGGCUAUUGUAAGAUUGGAAGGACCGAUGAUGGGUUGAAUCUGUUCAGAGAAAUAUUGCAUAAGAAAGUUAAACCUACAACUAUUACGUAUAGCACCAUACUGAAUGGACUGUUUCGUGCUGGGAGAACAGUUGCUGCAAAGAAAAUGCUCCAUGAGAUGGUCGAAUGCGGAACAACAGUGAGCUUGUCCACAUACAACAUAAUUCUUGGGGGACUUUGUAGAAAUGAUUGCACCGACGAAGCAAUCGUCCUAUUUCAGAAAUUAGGUGCAAUGAAUGUGAAAUUGGAUAUCACAACACUCAAUACCAUGAUUGAUGCAAUGUACAAGGUUCGUAGAAGACAAGAAGCUAAAGAUUUGUUUGCUGCAAUAUCAGCCAGUGGCUUGGUACCUAAUUCUCCUACUUACGGCACAAUGAUACAAAGUCUACUAAAAGAAGGAUUAAUGGAAGAAGCUGACAAUAUCUUCUCAUCAAUGGAGAAGAGUGGCUGUGUUCUGAGCUCUCGUCUUUUAAAUGAUAUCAUCAGAACAUUACUGGAAAAGGGGGAGAUUCUAAAGGCCGGAAAUUAUAUGUCUAAAAUUGAUGGGAAGAACGCCCAACUUGAAGCUUCAACUAGUUCGUUGUUGUUGUCUCUGUUUUCAGGGGAAGGGAAAUAUCGGGAACAAAUACAGUUGCUCCCUGUAAAGUACCAAUUCUUCGAUGCAGUUAGUUGAUGAAGUGGACUCAGCAGAUACAUGUUCGCUUGGUUUGGAGCUCCCUCUCAAUGAUGUUGCCAAGUCUUUCAUCCGCUCGCACACCAAGAUUGAGCUGGGUGAUGGUGCCACACUGCCACCAUGGUGUUCUGGUCGGUGCUUAGCUGCUGGGCGUGCAUCCUAUGGACAUCGCUCCUAAUCCGCUUUCCACCUCCACGCAUGGGCCAUUUGGUGUGAUGUGUUUGCUAAUGGUGAAAGCUUACUAAUAUUCGGGAGGAUGUUAUCCCUGAGUUUAUCAAGCUAUUUGGAGUUCUCUGAACCUCUGCAUAUCAAGUGCAUGUUGGCCCGAAGGCAAUUAUAGUGAAAUCGACGGACUAUUCUACAUUAUCAAGCUGUUUGGCGUUAACUGAACCCCCCAGCAUCAAGAGUUUGAUGAUUUUACUACCUGAAGAAUCUUGAGGCUUUGAAACCUGUGUACAUGAAAUUUGAACUUCCAUUCAGUCUCCUGUGUAAUGGUGUAAUUUUCCUAUGGUUUGAUACAUAGCUGUAGUUGUAGCACUACCUAAUUAAAAAAUAAUGUAAGAAAAUCCACAAUUUAUUCUUGUUAUCAUUAAAAUAAUGAAGUUGCAGAAACAUUAUGCUUUGACAUUUCACAAGAUAAAAAUAACAAUAAAUUAUACCAGCUCCAAUUAUCCGGUGAAACUGGAUGGACAGCUUCUAAGAAAGACCAUCAUCUUUUGUAGACCCUCUAACAAAACUUGGUACCUGAUUGCUUAGCUAGCCACUCUUAUAGUACUAGAUUAUCUGGUUUUGGGAAAGUUCUUUCCCUGACUAUCUCUCAGUUACUUGCAAAUGACAUGGUUAUCAUUUGAGAAAUAAAGUCUUAUUGCUGCAAAAGGAAAAAACUGAAGGUAAUUUACAUGUCAUCCCUGCUAAAAACAAAAUCAUUCUGCAGUGGGCUGCUGCAACUCCUUGGGAGAGGCAGAUCACAUCUCUGAAGCGUCUUGGCAUACGCUCCAUAUUCAGAUUAAAGCCCAAAUGCAGGAGUACGAAACAUCUCGACAUCAUAACUGAUAGAUGCACUUAUGUUCUUGCCUUAUACCAUUAGCGAUAACUGGACACAUCUACCACAUUACCUGUCUAAUGUUGAUGUUCUGUCGAAUUUAGUUUUGGAAUGCAUGUGCUAUUUUUCAUCUUUUUGGGUAAGAACACUGUUUUUUGUCUUGCUCACUGAACAUGCACAUUUUCUCUAGAUGAAGUUUCUGUGAUGAGAAACUUGCUGGGUGAUCCAUUUGCCCUUACAUCUUCUGCAUGGAAUGGCUUGUGCUGUGAUUAUACCCCAAGCGAUCCUUCCAAGAAUAAAAGCCUGGUGAGUUCUAAGUGAACAUAAUUGCCCUCUAUAUAUGCUGUGAGUAGAUUUGCAUCUGAAAUCAAAGAAGCAAAUAGAAAAUAAGGCUAUGGACCUAUAUUUGGAUGUAUAAUGAUUGUUUCAUCCUUGCAGAAUCUUGUCAUCCAAUGUAUUGGUUAGUGAAAUUGGCACUUCUGGUCAUCUGACGUUGCUCCAACAUGUACCUUCUGUAAAUAUUUUCUCAGAGUUUCUCGUAGAAAGUGUUCUUGCCAUAUUUUAUAGCCAUUUUAUUAACAGUGCUCGCAUUUUUAGACAUGUAUGGCCGCUCAAUGCUCGUUUUCUUCUAGACAUAUUAACAGUGCUUUUAUAGUCACUGUAUUAGCUAGUCUUAGAUUGUUCAAAAGGUUAUGAAAUUGUUCUGUCCUAUGACGAGGAUAGAGUUUCGUAGGCACAAGUAUUUGCUUGUCAUUGGACUGGAGGAUUUAGUUUUUUUAAUAAAAAAUUAGCUAUUGUCCUGUAAAUUUUACCUGGGCCAUCUUUUUUCAGACUCCAGUAUUUCCAUUUGCCAGCAUCUGUCUUUGACAACCAUGCAGAGAGAUUCAGUUGUUGCUGCCAUCAUAUCCUUCCUUUUUUCACUUUUAUUUUCUUUCCUAGUAACUAUUGUUUGAUGCACCAUUGAUCAAUUACAAAGAUGAGGUUCAUCUACGUACACAUUUUCAGGGCACACAGGCCUCUUUGCCGACCACUUGAAAACUGCAAAACAAAAUACGUCAUGGUUUUUAUGCUUUGCUCCACAUGUCACUAUUAAGAACAACAAAUUACCAAUGGAUAUCUAUGAGAUCUGGUGAUGCCAUUCAAGAUCCAUGUCCCUUCUAUCGCUCUAAAACGGGAAGAUUUCGAGUCGGCAUGCCUUGGUGUCAUGGUGUGUGCUUCAAGCUCGAGCAUUCUUUUCCUUCUUUUUGAGAAAUUUUGACAUACCACUGAACGAAUAUCAAAUUGCAACAUGCAUCUGCGCAAACCACGAGACAACGAGAGAGGACAUAUGCCCAUAAUCAUUUGUAGGAGAACUCCCCACAAAAAAAGAGAACUACAUUGAAGUCCUUUGAAAUUUCAGCAACUGCGGUCCUCACCAAUUGUCGCCGUCGGACACGAAGAAGCACCAUCGCUCAUGAGGGCUUUCAGAUUCGAAGAAGAGGUCUGCCGCCGGCUAGGCCAUUUGUCGGUAUGGUGCAUCGACUGGGAUCAUCCCAUUCCCCUGCUCCUCGAAACCCAGGUCCACCACAUGUCAUGGAGGUAGAAGAACAAAACAGACAUCCUCAAGCAUCCAACCUUGUUCUGAGUUCACUGCUAAAGACACUGUCAAGAUGAGCUAGGAUUUGGGCGAAAUUAUUCCAAAUGUUGUCACGGGACACACUAAUCCUAAGCCUUAACUAUAGCGGAGGCAGAGAGCCUGGGUUCUCCCACCUCUUCGCUGUCUGAGCGGCCAAGAGAACCCACAGCCUCACCGGAGGGAGGAGUUAGAGGGAGCGCAAUUGUUCUUGUUUUAAUUAUUUUAGGCUGCUUGUAAUGGGUAGUAUCAUACCUUAGGCUGGUCAUAGUGGGAAGUAUCAUAUACUAGUAUCAUUCAUAUGAUACUAGUGUAUAAUACUACAUCCAUAGUGCAUAGUAACAUAGAUUAGUAUUAUAGGUGGUCACAUUUAUUGCCAUGCAUGGCACAUAGUAGCAUAACAUUUAUUAUGUUACGGUAUCUACCAAUGUUACUAUAACCAUCUUUCUCUUCUUUAAUUGACUGCCACAUAAGCAUGUUUGUGAGUCCCAAGUGCAUGUUACUACUUAUGUUACCCCCACUAUGGCCAGCCUUAGUAUCAUGCACAUGAUACUAAGGUAUGAUAAUACCUCUAUAAUGCACAAUAUCAUAUACUAGUAUUAUAGGUAACCUUAUUUAUUGUCAUACAUGACACAUAGUAGUAUAGCAUUUAAUAUGAUACGGUAUCAUAAUAUGAUACUCAACACUCUCUUUCUUUAUUUAGUUCUAUGCCCUAGAGGCAAUAAUAAAUUGGUUAUUAUUAUAUUUCCUUGUUCAUUAUAAUCGUUUAUUGUCCAUGCUAGAAUUGUAUUGAUAGGAAACUCAGAUACAUGUGUGGAUACAUAGACAACACCAUGUCCCUAGUAAAGUUGACUAGCUCGUUGAUCAAUAGAUGGUUAUGGUUUCCUGACCAUGGACAUUGGAUGUCGUUGAUAACGGGAUCACAUCAUUAGGAGAAUGAUGUGAUGGACAAGACCCAAUCCUAAGCCUAGCACAAAGAUCGUGUAGUUCGUAUGCUAAAGCUUUUCUAAUGUCAAGUAUCAUUUCCUUAGACCAUGAGAUUGUACAACUCCCGGAUACCAUAGGAGUGCUUUGGGUGUGCCAAACGUCACGACGUAACUGGGUGGCUAUAAAGGUACACUACAGGUAUCUCCGAAAGUGUCUGUUGGGUUGGCACAAAUCGAGACUGGGAUUUGUCACUCCGUGUAAACGGAGAGGUAUCUCUGGGCCCACUUGGUAGGACAUCAUCAUAAUGUGCACAAUGUGACCAAGGAGUUGAUCACGGGAUGAUGUGUUACGGAACGACUAAAGAGACUUGCCAGUAACGAGAUUGAACAAGGUAUCUGGAUACCGACGAUCGAAUCUCGGGCAAGUAUUGUACCGAUGGACAAAGGGAAUUGAAUACGGGAUUGAUUGAAUCCUCGACAUCGUGGUUCAUCCGAUGAGAUCAUCGUGGAACAUGUGGGAGCCAACAUGGGUAUCCAGAUCCCGCUGUUGGUUAUUGGCCGGAGAGGUGUCUCGGUCAUGUCUGCAUGGUUCCCGAACCCGUAGGGUCUACACACUUAAGGUUCGAUGACGCUAGGGUUAUAGGGAAAGUACGUACACGGUUACCGAAUGUUGUUCGGAGUCCCGGAUGAGAUCCCGGACAUCACGAGGAGUUCCAGAAUGGUCCGGAGGUAAAGAUUUAUAUAUGGGAAGUCCUAUUUUGGUCACCGGAAAAGUUUCGGGUGCUAUCGAUAAUGUACCGGGACCACCGGGAGGGUCCCGGGGGUCCACCAGGUGGGGCUACCUGCCCCAGAAGGCUGCGUGGGCCAAGUGUGAGAGGGGACCAGCCCCAGGUGGGCUGGUGCGCCCCCCACCAGGGCCCAAGGCAAAGAGAGAAGGGAAAAGGGGGAAACCCUAGGCUCAGAUGGGCCUAAGGCCCACCUAGUGGUGCGCCCCCCCUCUCUCCCCCUUUGGCCGCCCCCUAGAUGGGAUCUAGGGCAGGCCGCCACCCCUAGGGGUGGAAACCUAGGUGGGGGCGCAGCCCCUCCCCUCCCCCUAUAUAUACUUGAGGUAUGGGGCUGCCCAACGGGUGUGAUUUGCUCUCCCUGUUGGCGCAGCCCUACCUCUCUCCCUCCUCAUCUCUCGUAGUGCUUGGCGAAGCCCUGCUGGAGUCCCGCGCUCCUCCACCACCACCACGCCGUCGUGCUGCUGCUGGAUGGAGUCUUCCCCAACCUCUCCUUCUCCCCUUGCUGGAUCAAGGUGUAGGAGACGUUACCGGGCUGUAUGUGUGUUGAACACGGAGGUGCCGUCCGUUUGGCACUAGGAUCAUCGGUGAUUUGGAUCACGACAAGUACAACUUCAUCAACCCCGUUCACUUGGACGCUUCCGCUUAGCGAUCUACAAGGGUAUGUAGAUGUACUCUCCUUCCCCUCGUUGCUAGACUACUCCAUAGAUUGAUCUUGGUGAUGCGUAGAAAAUUUUGAAUUUUUCCUACGAUCCCCAACAGUGGUAUCAGAGCUAGGUCUAUGCGUAGUUUCUAUGCACGAGUAGAACACAAAGCAGUUGUGGGCGUCGACAUUGUCAAUUUACUUGCCGUUACUAGUCUUAUCUUGAUUUGGCGGCAUCAUGGGAUGAAGCGGCCCGGACCGACCUUACACGUACUCUUACGUGAGACUGAUUCCACCGACUAACAUGCACUAGUUGCAUAAGGUGGCUAGCGGGUGUCUGUCUCUCCCACUUUAGUCGGAUCAGAUUCGAUGAAAAUGGUCCUUAUGAAGGGUAAAUAGAAAUUGGCAUAUCAUGUUGUGGUUUUCGCGUAGGUAAGAAACGUUCUUGCUAGAAACCUAUAGCAGCCACGUAAAAACUUGCAACAACAAUUAGAGGAUAUCUAACUUGUUUUUGCAGCAUAUGCCUUGUGAUGUGAUAUGGCCAAAAGGAUGUGGUGAAUGAUAUAUGUGAUGUAUGAGAUUGAUCAUGUUCUUGUAAUAGGAAUCACGACUUGCAUGUCGAUGAGUAUGACAACUGGCAGGAGCCAUAGGAGUUGUCUUAAUUUAUUUAUGACCUGCGUGUCAACAUAAACGUCAUGUAAUUACUUUACUUUAUUGCUAAAGCGUUAGCCAUAGUAGUAGAAGUAAUAAAUGACGAGACAACUUCAAGAAGACACGAUGAUGGAGAUCAUGGUGUCAUGCCGGUGACAACGAUGAUCAUGGAGCCCCGAAGAUGGAGAUCAAAAGGAGCAAAAUGAUAUUGGCCAUAUCAUGUCACUAUUUGAUUGCAUGUGAUGUUUAUCAUGUUUUACAUCUUAUUUGCUUAGAACGACGAUAGCUUAAAUAAGAUGAUCCCUCACUAAAAUUUCAAGAAAGGUGUUCCCCCUAACUGUGCACCGUUGCGAAGGUUCGUUGUUUCGAAGCACCACAUGAUGAUCGAGUGUGAUAGAUUCUAACGUUCGAAUACAACGGGUGUAAGCCAGAUUUACACAGCAAAAACACUUAGGUUGACUUGACGAGCCUAGCAUGUACAGACAUGGCCUCGGAACACGGAAGACCGAAAGGUCGAACAUGAGUCGUACAGAAGAUACGAUCAAUAUGAGAUGUUCACCGUUGAUGACUAGUCCGUCUCACGUGAUGAUCGGACACGGCCUAGUCGAUUCGGAUCAUGUUUCACUUAGAUGACUAGAGGGAUGUCUAUCUGAGUGGGAGUUCAUUAGAUGAACUCAAUUAUCAUGAACAUAGUCUAAAUUGCCUUUGCAAAUAUGUUGUAGAUAAAUAGCUCACGUUGUAGCUCCCUGUUUCAAUAUGUUCCUAGAGAAAGAUUAAGUUGAAAGAUAUUGUAAGCAAUGAUGCGGACUGGGUCCGUAGUCCGAGGAGUGUCCUCACUGCUACACAGAAGGCUUACGUCUUUGAUGCACCGCUCGAUGUGCAAACCCCUACAACGUCAUCUGUGGAUGUUGUGAACACCUGACAGACACGUCCUGAUGACUACUUGAUAGUUUAGUGCACCAUACUUUACGGCUUAGAAUCGGGAUUCCAAUGACGUUUUAAACGCCAUAGAACAUAUGAGAUGUUCCAAGAGCUGAAAUUGGGAUUUCAGGCUCAUGCCCGUGUUGAGAGGUGUGAGACCUCUAACAAGUUCUUUAGCCAACAAGAUGGAGGAGAAUAGCUCAGCUAGUGAGCAUGUGCUCAGAAUGUCUGGGUGCUACAAUCACUUAAAUCAAGUGGGAGUUAAACUUCCAGAUAAGAUAGUGAUUGAUAGAGUUCUCUAGCCACUAUCACUAAGCUACUAGAUCUUCGUGAUGAACUAUGACGUGCAAGGGAUGGAGUUGAUCCCGGAGCUGUUCGCGGUGCUUAAGACCAUAAAGGGUAGAAAUCAAGAAGGAGCAUCAAGUGUUGAUGGUUUAACAAGACCACUGGUUUCAAGAAGGGCUAGGGAUAGAAGGGAAACUUCAUGGAUGGCAAGCCAGUUGCCGCUCCAGUGAAGGAACCCAAGGUUGAACCCAAACCCGAGACUAAGUGCUUCUAUUGUAAGGGGAACGGUCACUGGUAGCGGAAUUACACCAAAUGCAUGGUAGAUAAGAAGGCUGGCAACCUCAACAAAGUAUAUACGUGUUAUUAAUGUGUACCUCGCUAGUACUCCUGGUAGCACCUGGGUAUUGGAUACCGGUUCAGUUGCUAUUACUGGUGACUUGAAGCAAAAGCUGCGGACUAAACGGAGACUGGCUAAGGGCGAGGUGACGAUGUGUGUUGGAAGUGUUUCCAAAGUUGAUGAGAUCACCAUCGCACGCUCCAUCUGCCUUCGGGAUUAGUAUUGAACCUAGAUAUAUGUUAUCAGGUGUCUACGUUGAGCAUGAAUAUGAUUAGAUCAUAUUCAUUGCAAUACGGUCAUUCAUUUAAGUUAGAGAAUAAUGGUUAUUCUGUUUACAUGAAUGAUACCUUUCAUGGUCAUGCACCCUAUGUGAAUGGUUCAUUGAAUCUCGGUCGUGGUAAUACACAUGUUCACGCCAAAAGAUGUAGAGUUAAUAAUGAUAGUACCACUUUCUCGUGGCACUGCCGCUUAGGUCAUAUUGGCGUAAGAUGCAUGAAGAAACUCCAUGUCGAUGGAUGCUUAGAGUCACUUGAUUUUGAAUCACUUGACACAUGCGAGCCAUGCCUCAUGGGCAGGAUGACUAACACCCCGUUUUCAGGUACAAUGAAAUGGGCAAGUGACUUGUUGGAAAUCAUGCAUGCUGAUGCGUGUGAUCCAAUGAGAAUUGAAGCGUGCAGUGGAUAUCGCUGUUUUCUCAUCUUCACUGACGAUUUGGGUAGAUAUAGGUAUAUCUACUUAAUGAAGCACAAGUCUGAAAUGUUUGAAAAAUUCACGCGAUUUCAGAGUGAAGUUAAGAACCAUCAUAACAAUAAGAUCAUGUUCCUACGAUCUGAUCAAAAGGAGAUUUUCUGAGUUAUGAGUUUGGCAAUCACUUAAGACAUUGUGGAAUUAUUUCACAGUUGAAGCCACCUGGAACACCACAAGAUAAUGGUGUGUCCGGACGUCGUAAUCGAACACUAUGAGAUAUGGUGUGAUCUAUGAUGUCUCUUAUCAAUCUACCGUUUUCAUUUUGAGGUUAUGCGUUAGAGACAUCUGCAUUCACUUUAGAUAGGACACCAUCUAAGUCCGUUGAGACGACAUCAUAAGAACAUUGGUUUGGCAAGAAACCAAAGUUGUCAUUUCUUAACGUUUGGGGAUGCGAUGCUUGGGGCUUCAGCCGAAGAAGCUCGAACCCAAAGCGGACAAACACAUCUUCAUAUGAUACUCAAGGGUGACAGUUGGCUAUACCUUCUAUCUCAGAUCCGAGGGAAAAUUGUUUGUCGCUAAGAACGGGUCCUUUCUUGAGAAGGAGUUUCUCUCAAAAGAAUUGAGUGGGAGUAAGAUAGAACUUGAUGAGGUUGUCAAACCUUUAUUUCAACCAGAGAGUGAUGCAACACAGAAAGAUGUUUUCUGUGGUGCCUACAACUUUUGAAUAGGAAGUUAAUGAUAGUGAUCAUGAAGCUUCGGAUCAAGUUGCUAUCGAACCUCGUAGGUCGACAAGGAUAUGUACUACUCCUAAGUGGUACGGUAAUCCUGUCUUAGAUAUCAUGUUGUUAGACAACAAUGAACCUACGAGCUAUGGAGAAGCGAUGGUGGGCCCGUAUUCUGACAAAUAGUUAGAAGCCAUGAAAUCCGAGAUAGGAUCCAUGUAUUAGAACAAAGUAUGGACUUUGGUGGACUUGCCCGUUGAUCGGCAAGCCAUUGAGAUAAAUGGAUCUUCAAGAAGAAGACGGACGUGGGCGGUAAUGUUACCGUCUAUGAAGCUCGACUUGUGGGAAAGAAUCUUUUCACAAGUUCAAGGAGUUGACUACGAUGAGAAUUUCUCACCCAUAGCGAUGCUUAAGUCCGUCGGAAUCAUGUUAGCAUUAGCUGUAUUUUUCGAUUAUGAAAUCUUACAGAUGGAUGUCAAAACAAGUUUUCUUACCAAGUUUUCAUAAGAAAAGCUGUAUGUGAUACAAUAAAAGGUUUUGUCGAUCCUAAGGAUGCUAAAAGGUAUGCUGGCUCCAGCAAUCCUUCUAUGGACUAGAGCAAGCAUCUCGGAAUCGGAAUAUAUGUUUUGAUGGAGUGAUCAAAGCUCUUAGGUUUAUACAAUGUUUGCAAGAAACUUUUAUUUACAAGAAAGUGAGUGGGAGCACUACAAUAUUUCUGAUAAGUAUAUGUGGAUGACAUACUGUUGAUCUGAAAUAAUGUAGAAUUUCUGGAAAGCAUAAACGGUUGUUUGAAGAGUGAUUUUCAAAGGAAGACCUGGAUAAAGCUGCUUACAUAUUGGGCAUCAAAAUCUAUAGAAAUAGAUCAAGACGCCUGAUGAUACUUUCAAAGAACGCACACCUUGACAUGUUUUUGAAAGAGUUCAAAAUAGAUCAGUCAAAGAAGGGGUUCUCACCUGAGUUGUAAGGUGUGAAGUUGAGUAAGACUCGAAGAUUGACCAUGGCAGAAGAAAGAGAAGGACGAAGGUCGUCCCCUAUGCUUUUGUCAUAGGCUCUAUACAGUAUGCCAUGCUGAGUACCGCACCAGAUGUGUGACUUGCCACAUGUCUGGCAAGAGGGUACAAAGGUGAUCUAGGAGUAGAUCACCAGAUAGCGGUCAAAAUUAUCCUCAGGGGAAUAAGGAAAUGUUUCUCGAUUAUGGAGGUGAUAAAGAGUUCGACGUAAAGAGUUACGUCGAUGCAGGCUUAACACCUAUCCGGAUAGCUCUGAGUAGAGAUACCGAAUACGUAUAAUGGAGCUGAUGGGGAACGUAGCAUAAAUUCAAAAUUUUCCUACGUGUCACCAAGAUCUAUCUAUGGAGUCAUCUAGCAACGAGGGAGGAGUGGAUCUACAUACCCUUGUAGAUCGCGCGCGGAAGCAUUCAAGAGAACGGGGUUGAUGGAGUCGUACUCGUCGUGAUCCAAAUCACCGAUGAUCCCAGCGCCGAACGGACGGCACCUCCGCGUUCAACACACGUACGGAGCAGCGACGUCUCCUCCUUCUUGAUCCAGCAAGGGGGGAGGAGAGGUUGAUGGAGAUCCAGCAGCACGAGGGCGUGGUGGUGGAAGUAGCGGGAUUCCAACAGGGCUUCGCCAAGCGCUGCGGGAGGAGGGAGAUGUGUCAUGGGAGGGAGAGGGAGGCGCCAGGGCUUAGGUUGGGCUGCCCUCCCUUCCCCCCACUAUAUAUAGGGCCAAGGGAGAGGGGGAGGCGCAGCCUUGGCCCUUCCUCCAAGGAAGGGUACGGCCAGGGGAGGAGUCCCUCCUCCCCAAGGCACCUCGGAGGUGCAUUCCCCCUUUAGGACUCUUCCUUUCCCUCUUCUCUUGGCGCAUGGGCCUCUUGGGGCUGGUGCCCUUGGCCCAUAUAGGCCAAGGCGCACCCCCUACAGCCCAUGUGGCCCCCCGGGGCAGGUGGCCCCACCCGGUGGACCCCCGGGACCCUUCCGGUGGUCCCGGUACAAUACCGGUGACCCCGAAACUUGUCCCGAUGGCCGAAAUAGCACUUCCUAUAUAUAAUUCUUUACCUCCGGACCAUUCCGGAACUCCUCGUGACGUUCAGGAUCUCAUCCGGGACUCCGAACAACUUUCGGGUUACCGCAUACUAAUAUCUCUAUAACCCUAGCGUCACCGAACCUUAAGUGUGUAGACCCUUUCGGGAACCAUACAUACAUGACCGAGACGUUCUCCGGUCAAUAACAAAUAGCGGGAUCUGGAUACCCAUGUUGGCUCCCACAUGUUCCACGAUGAUCUCAUCGGAUGAACCACGAUGUCAAGGACUUAAUCAAUCCCGUAUACAAUUCCCUUUGUCUAGCGGUAUGAUACUUGCCCGAGAUUCGAUCAUCGAUAUCCCGAUACCUUGUUCAAUCUCGUUACCGGCAAGUCUCUUUACUCGUUCCGUAACACAUCAUCCCGUGAUCAACUCCUUGAUCACAUUGUGCACAUUAUGAUGAUGUCCUACCGAGUGGGCCCAGAGAUACCUCUCCGUUUACAUGGAGUGAUAAAUCCCAGUCUCGAUUCGUGCCAACCCAACAGACACUUUCGGAGAUACCUGUAGUGUACCUUUAUAGCCACCCAGUUACGUUGUGACGUUUGGCACACCCAAAGCACUCCUACGGUAUCCGGGAGUUGCACAAUCUCAUGGUCUAAGGAAAUGAUACUUGACAUUAGAAAAGCUUUAGCAUACGAACUACAUGAUCUUGUGCUAGGCUUAGGAUUCGGUCUUUGUCCAUCACAUCAUUUUCCUAAUGAUGUGAUCCCGUUAUCAAUGACAUCCAAUGUCCAUGGUCAGGAAACCGUAACCAUCUAUUGAUCAACGAGCUAGUCAACUAGAGGCUUACUAGGGACAUGGUGUUGUCUAUGUAUCCACACAUGUAUCUGAGUUUCCUAUCAAUACAAUUCUAGCAUGGAUAAUAAACGAUUAUCAUGAACAAGGAAAUAUAAUAAUAACCAAUUUAUUAUUGCCUCUAGGGCAUAUUUCCAACAGUCUCCCACUUGCACUAGAGUCAAUAAUCCAGUUCACAUCGCUAUGUGACUAACACUCAAGGUCACAUCCCCAUGUGACUAACACCCAAAGAGUUUACUAGAGUCAAUAAUCUAGUUCACAUUACCAUGUGAUUAACACUCGAUGAGUUCUGGGUUUGAACAUGUUAUGCUUGUGAGAGAUGUUAUAGUCAACGGGUCUGAAUCUUUCAGAUCUGUAUGUACUUCGCAAAUUUCUAUGUCAUCUUGUAGAUGCAACUACUACGCUACAUUUGGAGCUAUUCCAAAUAACUGUUCUACUUGGAGCUAUUCUAAAUUGUUGCUCCAUUAUACGUAUCCGGUAUCUCUACUCAGAGCUAUCUGGAUAGGUGUUAAGCUUGCAUCGACGUAACUCUUUACGUCGAACUCUUUAUCACCUCCAUAACCGAGAAACAUAUCCUUAUUCCUCUAAGGAUAAUUUAGACCGCUAUCUGGUGAUCUACUCCUAGAUUACCUUUGUACCCUCUUGCCAGAUAUGUGGCAAGGCACACAUCAGGUGCGGUACUCAGCAUGGCAUACCGUAUAGAGCCUAUGACAAAAGCAUAGGGGACGACCUUCGUCCUUCCUCUUUCUUCUGCCGUGGUCGAGCUUUAAGUCUUAACUUCAUACCUUACAACUCAGGCAAGAACUCCUUCUUUGACUGGUCCAUCUUGAACACCUUCAAGAUCAUGUCAAGGUAUGUGCUCAUUUGAAAGUACCAUUAAGAAUUUUGAUCUAUCCUUAUAGAUCUUGAUGCUCAAUGUUCAAGUAGCUUAAUCCAGGCUUUCCAUUGAAAAAUACUUUCCAAAUAACCCUAUAUGCUUUCCAGAAAUUCUACGUCAUUUCUGAUCAACAAUAUGUCAACAUAUAUUUAUCAGAAAUUCUAUAGUGCUCCCACUCACUUCUUUGGAAAUACAAGUUUCUCAUAAACUUUGUAUACACCCAAAACUUUGAUCAUCUUAUCAAAGCAUACAUUCCAACUCCGAGAUGCUUACUCCAGUCCUUAGAAGGAUUGCUGGAGCUUUGCAUACUUAUUAGCAUCUUUCAGGAUUAUCAAAACCUUCCGGUUGUAUCACAUACAACCUUUCCUCAAAAAUCGUCGAGUAAACAAUGGUUUUUGACAUCCUAUCUGCAAGAUUUCAUAAAUAAUGCAGUAAUUGCUAAUAUAAUUCCAACAGACUCUUAGCAUUGCUACGAGUGAGAAAGUCUCAUCGCAGUCAACUCCUUGAACUUGUCGGAAAACAUCUUAACGACAAGUCAAGCUUUCUUAAUGGUGAUACCUAUCAUCAUUGUCCGUCUUCCUUUUAAAAUCCAUAUGUACCUAACAGCCUUACGACCAUCAAGUAGUUCUCCCAAAGUCUACACUUUGUUUUCAUAUAUGGAUCCUCUCUCGGAUUAUAUGGCCUCGAGCCAUUUUGGAAUCCAGGCCCAGCAUCGCUUCUCCAUAGCUCAUAGGUUCAUUGUUGUCUAGCAACAUGACUUCCAAGACAGGAUUACGUACCACUCUGAAGUAGUACGCAUCCUUGUCAUCCCACGAGGUUUGGUAGUGACUUGAUCUGAAGUUUCAUGAUCACUAUCAUAAGCUUCCACUUCAAUUGGUGUAGGUGCCACAGGAACAACUCCUGUGCCCUGCCACACACUAGUUGAAGAGACGGUUCAAUAACCUCAUCAAGUCUCCACCAUCCUCCCACUCAAUUCUUUCGAGAGAAACUUUUCCUCGAGAAAGGACCCGAUUCUAGAAACAAUCCCUUAUUGCUUUCGGAUCUGAGACAGGAGGUAUACCCAAAUGUUUUGGGUGUCCUAUGAAGAUGCAUUUAUCCGCUUUGGGUUCGAGCUUAUCAGCCUGAAACUUUUUCACAUAAGCGUCGCAGCCCCAAACUUUUAAGAAAUGACAGCUUAGGUUUCUCUAAACCAUAGUUCAUAUGGUGUCAUCUCAUUGGAAUUACGUGGUGCCCUAUUUAAAGUGAAUGUGGUUGUCUUUAAUGCCUAACCCAUAAACUAUCGUGGUAAUUCGAUAAGAGACAUCAUGGUAUGCAUCAUAUCCAAUAGGGUGCAGUUAUGAUGUUCGGACACACCAUCACACUAUGGUGUUCCAGGCUGUAUUAGUUGUGAAACAAUUUCCACAAUGUCUUAAUUUUGUGCCAAACUCGUAAUUCAGAUAUUCAUCUCUAUGAUCAUAUCAUAGAUAUUUUAUCCUCUUGUCACGACGAUCUUUCAACUUCACCCUGAAAUUACUUGAACCUUUCAAUAAUUCAGACUCGUGAUUCAUCAAGUAAAUAUACUCAACAUCUACUCAAAUCAUCUGUGAAGUAAGAACAUAACGAUAUCCACUACAUGCCUCAGCACUCAUUGGAUUGCACACAUCAAAAUGUAUUACUUCCAACAAGUUGCUUUCUAGUUUCAUUUUACUGAAAAUGAGGCUUUCAGUCAUCUUGCCCAUGUGGUAUGAUUUGCAUGUCUCAAGUGAUUCAAAAUCAAGUGAGUCCAAAUGGUCCAUUUGCAUGGAGUUUCUUCAUGCAUAUACACCAAUAGACAUGGUUCGCAUGUCUCAAACCUUUCAAAACAAGUGAGCCCAAAGAUCCAUCAACAUGGAGCUUCUUCAUGCGUUUUAUACCGAUAUGACUUACGUGGCAGUGCCACAAGUAGGUGGUACUAUCAUUACUAUCUUUUGGCAUGAACAUGUGUAUCACUACGAUCGAGAUUCAAUAAACCAUUCAUUUCAGGUGUAAGACCAUUUGAAGGUAUUAUUCAAAUAAACAGAGUAACCAUUAUUCUCUUUAAAUGAAUAACCGUAUUGCGAUAGACAUAAUCCAAUCAUGUCUAUGCUCAACGCAAACACCAAAUAACAAUUAUUUAGGUUUUAAUACCAAUCUCGAUGGUAGAGGGAGCAUGCGAUGCUUGAUCAUAUCAACCCUGGAAACACUUCCAACACAUAUCGUCAGCUCACCUUUAGCUAGUCUUCGUUUAUUCUGUAGCCUUUUGUUUCGAGUUACUAACACUUAGCAACCGAAUCGGUAUCUAAUACCCUGGUGCUACUAGGAGUACUAGUAAAGUACACAUCAACACAAUGUAUAUCCAAUAUACUUCUAUCGACCUUGCCAGCCUUCUCAUCUACCAAGUAUCUAGGGUAAUUCUGCUCCAGUGGCUGUUCCCCUUAUUACAGAAGCACUUAGUCUCGGGUUUGGGUUCAACCUUGGGUUUCUUCACUAGAGCAGCAGCUGAAUUGCCGUUUCAUGAAGUAUCCCUUCGUGCCCUUGCCCUUCUUGAAACUAGUGGUUUCACCAACCAUCAACAAUUGAUGCUCCUUGAUUUCUACUUUUGUGGUGUCAAACAUCGCGAAUAUCUCAAGGAUCAUCAUAUAUGUCCCUGAUAUAUUAUAGUUCAUCACGAAGCUCUAGCAGCUUGGUGGUAAUGACUUCGGAGAACCAUCACUAUUUCAUCUGGAAGAUCAACUCCCACUCGAUUCAAGCGAUUGUUGUACUCAGACAAUCUGAGCACAAGUUCAACAAUUGAGCUUUUCUCCCUUAGUUUGCAGGCUAAGAAAAUCGUCGGAGGUCUUAUACCUUUUGACGUGGGCACGAGCCUGAAAUCCCAAUUUCAGCCCUUGGAACAUCUCAUAUGUUCUGCGAUGUUUCAAAAACGUCUUUGGUGCCUCAAUUCUAAACGUUUAACUGAACUAUCACGUAGUUAUCAAAAUGUGUAUGUCAGAUGUUCGCAACAUCCACAGACAACGUUCGAGGUUCAGCACACUGAGCGGUGCAUGUUGUGGUAUUUCUCACAGGGGGCUUGCGAGUCGACAGAUGCCACAAGGGCUUAGUGUGUGGGUAAGACUGCUGCUGAUAGGACCGGGAGCGGGUAUGCGAGUAGCACGCGGUAGUUUACCCAGCUUCAGAGCUCUCCGGAGAGAUAAUACUCCUACUGCUGCAUGUCUGAGUGUAUAUGAUAUAUCUGGUACAGAGUUGCUCCUAGAGCUGUAUCUGAGGUCAGUGCCAUAGGCAUCUGGCCUCGUAUAUGCCUGUAUGAGGCAUGCUAGUGGCCGGCCAUGCAUGGCUAUGGCUUGUGGCCGUGAGUGUGUUUGUCUCCAUGUGUGUAUGAAUGGAUGGAUCGUUGCUAGCUAGCUUGCUUGCUAGCUUGCGUAUAUGCUAGGCCUUGUGCCCGUGAGUGUCCACCAUCCUGGAUGGAUGGAUGAGUGCCCCUUUUAUAGUGUGGGCUAGCUUACUAUGUAAGCUAUGUGGGUAGGCAUGGGUAAGGCAUGGUGCAUGUCAUGCUUGUCCCCUGGGUCACUUCAUAAAUAGUGCCAGGGGACAAGUGACACUGUACAUGAUGUCGUCGCGGUACGAUUGUCUUGUCCGCGGUACAUCCGUCUUGUCGGUGUCUUGUCGGUGUCGGGUCGGGCUGCAGUCGGCAGCCGGCUGGUUGGCGCAGUCGGCAGCCGGCUGGUUGGCGCAGUCGGCAGCCGGCUUUCAGACUGAGGGGCUUUGCUAACCCCGAUGUCUUGAAAUAUCGUCUCGCCGUCUUCGGGGUAUCACUGUCCAAUUACUCCGACAGUAGCCCCCAAGCCUCCGGGCAACUUGGCAAAGUUGGGCGGAGGUUUUUUGGCAAAUGUUCAUGGAAAUGAUCAUAAAAAAGGACAAAGUUAGUCCACACAAAUAUAUCAUAUGCUUGCUUUUAGUAUUGCAAGUUUUUAUGCGGAGGGUGCUGACUCGGUUUCGUCCGAGCCCCUUAAUAUUUUUUGUGUUCCUUCUGUUUUUUGGCUUGUGCUCUUGCUUGCCGAACAGCCUCUCUGUGGUCUGUGGCUAAGAGUGGGCCGCGAAGUGGAGUGUACAGUACUCAGAGUCUAGGAGCAGAUUCAACCGAGUAGAUACUUGUAAAGGAAAACGGCCGGGUCGCCCGAACGUUUUUCUUCCCGGGCGUUUUUCGCAUGGGUGGCCUCCAGCAUACACUCUUCCUAGUCAGACAGACUAAGAGUGGGCCUUUGGUACCGCGCAUGGUACUAAGCCGUCUGCGGGAACUAACGUCUCAGGCCAAGCGGCCAGCCCCCGGGCCAACUCUGGCUGGCGCCGGGGCGAACAGUGACGCUACUGUAAUAAAAUGCGGAGACAGUCCCCGAGCAUCGCUCGUGGCUAUCCAUGCUUGCGUGGUGCAAAAAAUAUGCGGGUGAGGAGCUCACAUUGAUUUUCGUGUAGUCGCGGUCGUCGGAGACAGCCGGCGCGACUCGGCGCUCGCGGAGCGCGUCGGCGCACCCGCUGGGUGAAGCCUUUGCCCGGCCGGUCAGGCUUGACCGGCCAGGCGGCGAGGUGUCUUGCAACGCCCUUUUUCUUCUGCCGGCUGCUGACAGCCGGACAAAACUCUUCUCUUGUCUGCAAUCUUCACGGGGGCGCGUCAGCGCACCCGCUGGGUGUAGCCCCCGAGAUUCGGGCCGACUGCUGAGCAGUCGGGCCGGAUCUCCCGGCAACUACUUUGUCUUCUCUCUCGCGGGGGCGCGUUAGCGCACCCGCUGGGUGUAGCCGCCGAGAUUCGGGCCGACUGCUGAGCAGUCGGGCUGGAUCUCCCGGCGACUACUUUGUCUUCUCUCUCGCGGGGGCGCGUCAACGCACCCGCUGGGUGUAGCCCCCGAGACUCGGGCCGACUGCUGAGCAGUCGGGCCGAAUCUUCCGGCAACUACUUUGUCUUUUUUCUCGCGGGGGCGCGUCAGCGCACCCGCUGGGUGUAGCCCCCGAGAUUCGGGCUGACUGCUGAGCAGUCGGGCCGGAUCUUCCGGCAAUUACCUUGUCUUCUUCUUCUUCCGGCCAGGUGGGCGGACCCCGACACAGCAGUCGGGCUCUUUGCAGCCGGACAAGCAGCCAGCGGUCGGACGCACACACACAUUUUUUCUUUCUUGCCAAUCGGCCGUGGGCAUCCGGCCAUCUCACCCGGUCACUCCUCUUUUUUUUUGAAGUCGGCCACACAGGCGGAAGUGCAUGCAUAUGUACCCGGCCUUUGCUAUAACCGGACAUGCAUGCGCACCUGGCCAAGCAUGCAUGCAUGUACCAGGUGAAUCCAUACGCGCUUUUUCUUUUUCAGCCGACAGCAUCUCUUGACUUUUCUUUCUCCCCCGGCCGACCUCUUUUUUCUCUCUCUCUUUUUUUCAGCACCCGGUCCUUUUUAUUUUUCUCUCUCCCGGCUGCCCGAGCGACACCGACAGGCUGCGGCAGCGAACAACGGGAGCCGGCUGAGGCGCACCCGGGCGCCCGGAGGUGAGGCGGCGAGCCGAGCACCCGGAGCCGGGUUGUGGUCAGGGCGGAGCGGAGGGGCGCGGCGACCCGACCGCCAGGCGCUGGUGAAGCCGGUCGCGCAGACAGAGUCGGGCGGCGCGGGAGGGAGCCGGCGGCCGCGGGCGCGCGGGCGGAGGCGAAGCCGGCGCGGCCCUUGGGGCUGGACAGCGCGGGGUAGGCCGAGCCGAAGCCGACACGGUGCUCGGGGCCAGAUGGAGGCAAAGCCGGCCGCUGGGGAGGCCGGGCAGGCGCGACGCAGCCGGAGCUGGGCGUGACGGAGGGGCUCGGUGUGCGCGCGAGACGGAGGCGGCCAGGGGCCAGCAGGCGGACGGCGAUGCGGGAGGCGCGCAGCUAGGGAGCGGGGGAGCCGGCCAGGCCGGCCGGGUGGAGGGCGAAGCCGGCAGGCGAUGGAGCCGGCAAGCGGCGGAGCCAGCCGUCCGGCUCGGGGAGGAGACGGCAAGCGGCCGGGGCCGGGCGUGGAGGCCGGCAGCAGAGGCGGCUGGGUUGGGGGAACCGGCCAGGGCGGAGCCGGCGAGCCGGCACGAAAGACCCAGAGGGAAGGAGCCGGACGCUCGAGGCCAGCUAGGCGAGAAGGCGGAGCCGGCGCGGAGGUCCCGGGAGGUCGGACGCCGGGCGGCGGGAGGAGCCGGCCGUCCGGGCUGCGGGCGGGGCCGAGGGAGGUGGCGGCCGGAUCGCGCGGGGAGGCGGCGUCCGGGCCGCACGGAUGGUGGAGCGGGGCGAGCGCGCUCGGGGAAGUCGGCCAGCUCGUCGGAGCCGUGGAGGGGCGAGGCCGCGGGACGGAGAUGGCGCGGAGGCCGGGUCGCGGGCGCCAGCCGGCAGGCGCGCGCAGGAGCCGGCUUGGGUAGGAGCCGGACACGGCAGAGGCGAGGCGGACGCGGGAGGAGGCGCGAAGCAGCCGACGCAGGGCGAUACAGCCGACUGUGGAGGACCCGGCCAGAGUGGCGGGCUGGCGGGCGAGUGCGGAGCAGGGGGCCGGGGGCGCACCGACCCGGAGCUGGCCGGGCGGGCGGCAAGCCGGCAGGCGCAGGGGGCCAGCGCGGCAGGGGAGGCCGGGGCCUGCGGGCGAGGACGCGGAGCCGCGCACAGGCGAAUCCGAACCAGCAGGGGUGCGCGCAGACGAAACUCCGACAGCAGCGAUGCUCGAGCAAGCAACAGUAAGAGCAGUAGGAGGCAUCGGCUGCAGCAAUGGAGGGAGCAGCAGCAUUCUAGCAGCGGGCACGGAGCGCACGGGCGUGGCCAAGGCAAGCCGAGGGAUGGCAGCAUGCACAGGGAGGCGCGGCCAUGACGCAGCGUAGAGAUUUUUGGUGGAGUAUGUCUUGGGCGUCAACUGUAUAGGCAACGCGUGACCAUGGUUGACUGAUGCAUCUAGCUAGCUUGUAGAUGAUAUAUGGAGGCCGGAGCAAGGCGCAACACGAAGGAAAGCAGGCGCGAGCGGCGCGUGGACGGCCACGGUCGACCGAAACGAGGCCCCGCGCGCGGCGUGCGCGCGGACGUGCAGCCGGCGUCGCAACGAUGGUGGUGAAGAAGGCGAGGCCGACGGCGAGGUCACGCCGCCCCUCACGGCCAUUCCGGGGGCAUGUCAAUGUCGAGCCCCCGACCGCAAUCGAAGAGACGGCGCGACGCCGCGGUGGUGAAGACGAAGAGGCCGACGGCGAGGACGCGGCGCCCCUCAAGGCCAUUCCGGGGGCAUGUCGAUGUCGAGCCCCCGACCGCUAUCGGAGAGACGGCGUGACGCCGCGGUGGUGAAGACGAAGAGGAUGACGGCGAGGGCGCGCCGUCCCGCCCGGCCGCUCCGGGGGCGGGUUGAAGUCGAGCCCCCGAGCGCUACCGGAGAGACGGCGCGACGCGGCGGAGAUGACGAAAAUGGUCCCGCCCGGACAGCGAAACCAGCAGCACCGCAGUAGCAUGUACCGCCCCACGGUGGGCGUCAACUGUCGUGGUAUUUCUCACAGGGGGCUUGCGAGUCGACAGAUACCACAAGGGCUUAGUGUGUGGGUAAGACUGCUGCUGAUAGGACCGGGAGCGGGUAUGCGAGUAGCACGCGGUAGUUUACCCAGCUUCAGAGCUCUUCGAAGAGAUAAUACUCCUACUGCUGCAUGUCUGAGUAUAUCUGGUAUAUCUGGUACAGAGUUGCUCCUAGAGCUGUAUCUGAGGUCAGUGCCAUAGGCAUCUAGCCUCGUAUAUGCCUGUAUGAGGCAUGCUAGUGGCCGGCCAUGCAUGACUAUGGCUUGUGGCCGUGAGUGUGUUUGUCUCCAUGUGUGUAUGAAUGGAUGGAUCGUUGCUAGCUAGCUUGCUUGCUAGCUUGCGUAUAUGCUAGGCCUUGUGCCCGUGAGUGUCCACCAUCCUGGAUGGAUGGAUGAGUGCCCCUUUUAUAGUGUGGGCUAGCUUACUAUGUAAGCUAUGUGGGUAGGCAUGGGUAAGGCAUGGUGCAUGUCAUGCUUGUUCCCUAGGUCAUUUUAUAAAUAGUGUCAGGGGACAAGUGACACUGUAUAUGAUGUCGUCGCGGUACGAUUGUUUUGUCCGCGGUACAUCUGUCUUGUCGGUGUCGGGUCGGGCUGCAGUCGGCAGCCGACUGGUUGGCGCAGUCGGCAGCCGGCUUUCAGACUGAGGGGCUUUGCUAGCCCCGAUGUCUUGAAAUAUCGUCUCGCCGUCUUCGGGGUAUCACUGUCCAAUUACUCCGACAGUGCAUUAAGGACAUAAGCCUUCUAUGAAGCAAUGAGGACAAUCCUCAGUUUACGGACCUAGUCCGCAUAAUUGCUACUAUCAACUUUCAACUAAAUUUUCUCUAGGAACAUAUCUAAACAGUAGAACUGAAGCGCGAGCUACGACAUAAUUUGCGAAGACCUUUUGACUAUGUUCAGGAUAAUUAAGUUCAUCUUAUGAACUCCCACUCAGAUAGACAUCCCUCUAGUCAUCUAAGUGAUUACAUGAUCCGAGUCAACUAGGCCGUGUCCGAUCAUCACGUGAGACGGACUAGUCAACAUCGGUGAACAUCUUCAUGUUGAUCGUAUCUACCAUACGACUCAUGCUCGACCUUUCGGUCUCUUGUGUUCCGAGGCCAUGUCUGUACAUGCUAGGCUCGUCAAGUCAACCUAAGUGUUUCGCGUGUGUAAAUCUGUCUUACACCCGUUGUAUGUGAACGUUAGAAUCUAUCACACCCGAUCAUCACGUGGUGCUUCGAAACAACAAACUGUCGCAACGGUGCACAGUUAGGGGGAACACCUUCUUGAAAUUUUAGUGAGGGAUCAUCUUAUUUACUACCGUCGUUCUAAGCAAAUAAAAUGUAUAAACAUGAUAAACAUCACAUGCAAUCAAAUAGUGACAUGAUAUGGCCAAUAUCAUAUUGCUCCUUUUGAUCUUCAUCUUCGGGGCUCCAUGAUCAUCAUCGUCACCGGCAUGACACCAUGAUCUCCAUCAUCAUGAUCUCCAUCAUCGUGUCUCCAUGAAGUUGCCUCGCCAACUAUUACUUCUACUACUACAACUAACGGUUAGCAAUAAAGUAAAGUAAUUACAUGACGUUUAUGUUGACACGCAGGUCAUAAAUAAAUUAAGACAACUCCUAUGGCUCCUGCUGGUUGUCAUACUCAUCGACAUGCAAGUCGUGAUUCCUAUUACAAGAACAUGAUCAUCUCAUACAUCACAUAUAUCAUUCAUCACAUCCUUUUGGCCAUAUCACAUCACAUAGCAUACCCUGCAAAAACAAGUUAGACGUCCUCUAACUGUUGUUUGCAUGUUUUACGUGGCUGCUAUGGGUUUCUAGCAAGAACGUUUCUUACCUACGCAAAAACCAGAACGUGAUAUGCCAAUUGCUAUUUACCCUUCAUAAGGACCCUUUUCAUCGAAUCCGAUCCGACUAAAGUGGGAGAGACAGACACCCGCUAGCCACCUUUAUGCAACUAGUGCAUGUCAGUCGGUGGAACCAGUCUUACGUAAGAGUACGUGUAAGGUCGGUCCGGGCCGCUUCAUCCCACAAUGCCACCGAAUCAAGAUUGGACUAGUAACGGUAAGCAUAUUGAACAAAAUCAACGCCCACAACUAUUUUGUGUUCUACUCGUGCAUAGAAACUACGCAUAGACCUAGCUCAUGAUGCCACCGAUGGGGAACGUAGCAUAAAUUCAAAAAUUUUCUACGUGUCACCAAGAUCUAUCUAUGGAGUCAUCUAGAAACGAGGGAGGAGUGGAUCUACAUACCCUUGUAGAUCGCGCGCGGAAGCGUUCAAGAGAACGGGGUUGAUGGAGUCGUACUCGUCGUGAUCCAAAUCACCGAUGAUCCUAGCGCCGAACGGACGGCACCUCCGCGUUCAACACACGUACGGAGCAGCGACAUCUCCUCCUUGAUCCAGCAAGGGGGGAGGAGAGGCUGAUGGAGAUCCAGCAGCACGACGGCGUGGUGGUGGAAGUAGCGGGAUUCCAACAGGGCUUCGCCAAGCGCUGCGGGAGGAGGGAGAUGUGUCAUGGGAGGGAGAGGGAGGCGCCAGGGCUUAGGUUGGGCUGCCCUCCCUUCACCCCACUAUAUAUAGGGCCAAGGGAGAGGGGGAGGUGCAGCCUUGGCCCUUCCUCCAAGGAAGGGUGCGGCCAGGGGAGGAGUCCCUCCUCCCCAAGGCACCUCGGAGGUGCCUUCCCCCUUUAGAACUCUUCCUUUCCCUCUUCUCUUGGCGCAUGGGCCUCUUGGGGCUGGUGCCCUUGGCCCAUAUAGGCUAAGGCGCACCCCCUACAGCCCAUGUGGCCCCCCGGGGCAGGUGGCCCCACCCGGUGGACCCCCGGGACCCUUCCGGUGGUCCCGGUACAAUACCAGUGACCCCGAAACUUGUUCCGAUGGCCGAAAUAGCACUUCCUAUAUAUAAUUCUUUACCUCCGGACCAUUCCGGAACUCCUCGUGACGUCCGAGAUCUCAUCCGGGACUCCGAACAACUUUCGGGUUACCGCAUACUAAUAUCUCUAUAACCCUAGCGUCACCGAACCUUAAGUGUGUAGACCCUACGGGUUCGGGAACCAUGCAGACAUGACCGAGACGUUCUCCGGUCAAUAACAAACAGCGGGAUCUGGAUACCCAUGUUGGCUCCCACAUGUUCCACGAUGAUCUCAUCGGAUGAACCACGAUGUCAAGGACUUAAUCAAUCCCGUAUACAAUUCCCUUUGUCUAGCGGUACGAUACUUGCCCGAGAUUCGAUCGUCGAUAUCCCGAUACCUUGUUCAAUCUCGUUACCGGCAAGUCUCUUUACUCGUUCCGUAACACAUCAUCCCGUGAUCAACUCCUUGAUCACAUUGUGCACAUUAUGAUGAUGUCCUACCGAGUGGGCCCAGAGAUACCUCUCCGUUUACAUGGAGUGACAAAUCCCAGUCUCGAUUCGUGCCAACCCAACAGACACUUUCGGAGAUACUUGUAGUGUACCUUUAUAGCCACCCAGUUACGUUGUGACGUUUGGCACACCCAAAGCACUCCUACGGUAUCCGGGAGUUGCACAAUCUCAUGGUCUAAGGAAAUGAUACUUGACAUUAGAAAAGCUUUAGCAUACGAACUACAUGAUCUUGUGCUAGGCUUAGGAUUGGGUCUUUGUCCAUCACAUCAUUCUCCUAAUGAUGUGAUCCCGUUAUCAAUGACAUCCAAUGUCCAUGGCCAGGAAACCGUAACCAUCUAUUGAUCAACGAGCUAGUCAACUAGAGGCUUACUAGGGACAUGGUGUUGUCUAUGCAUCCACACAUGUAUCUGAGUUUCCUAUCAAUACAAUUCUAGCAUGGAUAAUAAACGAUUAUCAUGAACAAGGAAAUAUAAUAAUAACCAAUUUAUUAUUGCCUCUAGGGCAUAUUUCCAACAGGAGCAACAAUUUGGAAUAGCUCCAAGUGGAACGUGGUAGCAGCAUCUAUGAUAUAAAGUUUUGCGAAAUACAUAGGGAUCUGAAUAUGGCAAGACCCGUUGACUACAACCUCUCUCACAAGCAUAACAUGAUCAGACCCAGAACUCAUUGAGUAUUAAUCACAUAGUGAUGUGAACUAGAUUAUUGAGUCUAGUAAACUCUUUGGAUGUUGGUCACAUGGCGAUGUGACCUGUGAGUGUUAAUCACAUGGCGAUGUGAACUACAUUAUUGACUCUAGUGCAAGUGGGAGACUGUUGGAAAUAUGCCCUAGAGGCAAUAAUAAAUUCGUUAUUAUUAUAUUUCCUUGUUCAUGUUAAUCGUUUAUUAUCCAUGCUAAAAUUGUAUUGAUAGGAAACUCAGAUACAUGUGUGGAUACAUAGACAACACCAUGUCCCUAGUAAAGUUGACUAGCUCGUUGAUCAAUAGAUGGUUAUGGUUUCUUGACCAUGGACAUUGGAUGUCAUUGAUAACGGGAUCACAUCAUUAGGAGAAUGAUGUGAUGGACAAGACCCAAUCCUAAGCCUAGCACAAAGAUCGUGUAGUUCGUAUGCUAAAGCUUUUCUAAUGUCAAGUAUCAUUUCCUUAGACCAUGAGAUUGUGCAACUCCCGGAUACCGUAGGAGUGCUUUGGGUGUGCCAAACGUCACGACGUAACUGGGUGGCUAUAAAGGUACACUACAGGUAUCUCCGAAAGUGUCUGUUGGGUUGGCACGAAUCGAGACUGGGAUUUGUCACUUCGUGUAAACAGAGAGGUAUCUCUGGGCCCACUCGGUAGGACAUCAUCAUAAUGUGCACAAUGUGGCCAAGGAGUUGAUCACGGGAUGAUGUGUUACGGAACGAGUAAAGAGACUUGCCAGUAACGAGAUUGAACAAGGUAUCUGGAUACCGACGAUUGAAUCUCGGGCAAGUAUCGUACCGAUGGACAAAGGGAAUUGAAUACGGGAUUGAUUGAAUCCUCGACAUCAUGGUUCAUCCGAUGAAAUCAUCGUGGAACAUGUGGGAGCCAACAUGGGUAUCCAGAUCCUGUUGUUGGUUAUUGGCCGGAGAGGUGUCUCGGUCAUGUAUGGAUGGUUCCCGAACCCGUAGGGUCUACACACUUAAGGUUCGAUGAUGCUAGGGUUAUAGGGAAAGUAUGUACACGGUUACCGAAUGUUGUUCGGAGUCCCGGAUGAGAUCCCGGACAUCACGAGGAGUUCCGGAAUGGUCCGGAGGUAAAGAUUUAUAUAUGGGAAGUCCUAUUUUGGUCACCGGAAAAGUUUCGGGUGCUAUCGGUAACGUACCGGGACCACCGGGAGGGUCCCGGGGGUCCACCAGGUGGGGCUACCUGCCCCAGAAGGCUGCGUGGGCCAAGUGUGAGAGGGGACCAGCCCCAGGUGGGCUGGUGCGCCCCCCCACCAGGGCCCAAGGCAAAGAGAGAAGGGAAAAGGGGGAAACCCUAGGCUCAGAUGGGCCUAAGGCCCACCUAGUGGUGCGCCCCCCUCUCUCCCCCUUUGGCCGCCCCCUAGAUGGGAUCUAGGGCUGGCCGCCACCCCUAGGGAUGGAAACCUAGGUGGGGGCGCAGCCCCUCCCCUCCCCCUAUAUAUACUUGAUGUAUGGGGCUGCCCAACGGGUGUGAUUUGCUCUCCCUGUUGGCGCAGCCCUACCUCUCUCCCUCCUCGUCUCUCGUAGUGCUUGGCGAAGCCCUGCUGGAGUCCCGCGCUCCUCCACCACCACCACGCCGUCGUGCUGCUGCUGGAUGGAGUCUUCCCCAACCUCUCCUUCUCCCCUUGCUGGAUCAAGGUGUAGGAGACAUCACCGGGCUGUACGUGUGUUGAACACAGAGGUGCCGUCCAUUCGGCACUAGGAUCAUCGGUGAUUUGGAUCAUACGAGUACGACUUCAUCAACCCCGUUCACUUGAACGCUUCCGCUUAGCGAUCUACAAGGGUAUGUAGAUGCACUCUCCUUCCCCUCGUUGCUAGAUUACUCCAUAGAUUGAUCUUGGUGAUGCGUAGAAAAUUUUGAAUUUCUGCUACGAUCCCCAACAGCCACCUCAACAAAAUAGUCUAGUUGACAUGCAUGAUACUAGCUAUGAUACUACCAUUACGACCCGUAAGUGCGUAGGAGCACUCGGCGAUGCAGCCCACUGAAAUCCCACCCAUUUAAUUGUCUUGGGAUCAUCACCUCCUAUAUUAGCCCCAGUGUAUUUGCUACAUUUAUUUGCUCGUAUCUGACACGUUCUCUUGUAUGUUGGACCCUGUUCACAUUAGAUAUCACAACUCACAUCCGUUCAACCACAACAACCAGCACCCAGCCACCCAAGAAUGCAAUGAAUGCACACGCUUCUCUUUUCUCUUUUCCCCACCAACCCUUCUUCCCCAGGAGGCCAGGACGUCUUCCUCAUCAAUCAACUUCUGCACCUUCUUCCUCAGUUUCCAGCUCCUUGUUCGCCAUGUUCCAAGCAUGGAACAAAGCUAAUAGGAACUACGAAGACUACAUUCAUCCUGGUUGUCUCCAGAGCACUGCUAGGCGGACGACUGAUUUAGAUGACCAGCGCACGACGAUGAAUCCCAGGCAUGGAAUCGCGUCCAGAACCCACACUCUAUUCGCUGGAAUUUUUAUCAUGUAUAGAUCGGCCACAUGCUGUCGUGUGUGGAGCAAUUCCGCUCCGAGUUACUGCCAUGGUCAGCGACACCACGUCCGCCCUGCACAUCAACAACAAGCCAUGUGUUUCGGCAGCCAGUGUGUGGGAGAAAAUCCAGGAAGAAGACUAUGCCAUCCAUCACAAGCAAAUCAAAGUAGUUGUCUGAGGCUUCGAGUUUGCCGCAUGCCUAUGCAACCAUAGCUAGCGACGCCGCAAGACGCACCCCUGGCUACCAACACCAUGUCAUGUGUUCCUGCACCAGGCUCCAGUAGCUCAGUAGGAUCCGGUAGCUCCGUGUUAGCUCGCAGCAACAACCACGAGUUCCCGGGAACCGCUCGCAAGAGAGGUUGUACAUCCAUCUCUCUGUCCCCUAUUAGUUUUCAUAACGAGGCCGAUGUUCUUCUUCGCUAGGAGCUCAGUUGUUCCCAAAGAACGGACCAAGAGAGAGAGAGAAGAAUCACCAGGUCUAGUCUCACCGAUGUAUACUCGCCGGAGUUCUUCGCGUCGAGAGUUCUCCAGCUGCAUCUCUCUCUCUCUCUCUCUCUUCUGCUUCCUUCUCUAUGCACCUGCACAAGUAGGCUACCAUGGCCAGCAUCUUGUCCGCGAGUCCUCUUUCCGUCACAAGCACGAGGCACUGGCGGGCGUCGUCCGUGGUGUGCCCGCAGCUCGCCGGUAUACCUUGGUGCCAUAUGGCCGCAACGGCUGUUUAUGUACUGACAUGUCCAUUCUUUACUGUUAUAUACUGUUAUAUAAUAACGAGAAUAAACGAGACACGAGAGUACAUGGAUUUUUACAUGGAAACCCUUGCGGGAGAAAACCACGGAUGCGCGAAGGCACAAUCACCAUGAGGAGGAGUAUUACAAGCACGAGACGACAGACCGUCUGAGGUGCGGCUACAUGGGGUAUAUAAGAGGGCAAUACAUGAGAGUCCUUGGAGGACAAGUAAACGAGUUGUACUCGUACGCGUCGACAUCAACGCAAAGGCCCACACCGGUUGUACUACGUCUAGUCCAACACGGUAUAAUUUGGAUCACAAUUUAACAAUCUCCACCUUGAUCCAAAUUUCCUCCAGUAGUCGAAGAAAGUGAAUAACUCCAUCCAAAUCAGCAUAAACACCUUGUGCAUCAAAGUCCAUAGGACUAGUGAGAAAUACCAACUAAGCCUGAGCAAAGCUCAAACUUAUUGGUCGGAACAGGCUUUGUCAUCAUAUCAGCUGGAUUAUCAUGAGUACUUAUCUUGCAUACCUUCAAAUCGCCUUCAGCAACAACAUCUCGAAUAUAAUGAAAUCUGACAUCAAUGUGUUUUGUCCUCUCAUGAUACAUUGGAUUCUUUGUAAGAUAUAUAGCACUUUGACUGUCACUAAAUACGGUAGGGCAAGAUGAAUCUCCACAAAGCUCAGAAUACAAACCUCUCAACCAGAUAGCUUCUUUGCAUGCCUCAAAAUAGCCAUAUACUCGGCAUCAGUAGUGGAACAAGCCACAAUAGACUGCAAAGUUGCUCUCCAACUCACAGCACAACCACCAAUGGUAAAAACAUAACAUGUGAGUGAUCUUCUCUUAUCCAAAUCACCAGCAAAAUCAGAAUCAACAAAACCAACAAGUCCAUCUCCAGUUUUUCCGAACUGUAUAAGCAUUAGAAGUACAUCGCAGGUAUCUGAAAAUCCACUGAACUGCUCUCCAAUGCUCUUUUCCAGGAUUAGCCAUGUAUCUACUGACAACACUCAAUGCAUAUGAUAAAUCAGGACGAGAACAAACCAUGGCAUACAUAAGUGAACCAACUGCACUCAAAUAGGGAACUCUAGACAUGUGCUCAAUAUCUGCAUCUGACUUAGGACAUAAAGUUGAUGAUAAUUUGAAGUGUGCAGCUAAUGGAGUACUCACCGGCUUGGCAUUAUGCAUAUUAAAAUGACGAAGAACUUUAUCAAUAUAUCCCUUCUGACUUAGAUAUACUUUUCCAGACGGUCUAUCUCUGGAUAUUUCCAUGCCAAGUAUUUUCUUUGCUGCACCCAAAUCCUUCAUCUCAAAUUCAUUACUCAAUUGCUUCUUUAGUUCAUUAAUCUCUAACAUACUCUUUGCAACAAUAAGCAUAUCAUCAACAUAAAGGAGCAAAUAAAUAGUUGAACCAUUGACAGUUUUCAAAUAAACACAACUAUCAUAAUUAGACCUUUUGAAAUCUUGAGAGAGCAUAAAGGUGUCAAAUCUCUUGUACCACUGUCUAGGGGGUUGCUUCAAUCCAUAGAGAUUUCUUUAACUUACAGACAAGCUUUUCUUUUCCAGGAAUAACAAAACCUUCAGGUUGUUCCAUAUAAAUAUUCUCUUCUAAUUCUCCAUGUAAGAAUGCAGUUUUAACAUCCAAUUGUUCAAGCUCAAGAUCAUGCAUGGCAACAAUACUGAGUAAAGUGUGAAUAGAGCUAUGCUUCACAACAGGAGAAAAGACUUCGUUAUAGUCAAUACCUGGAAUCUGACUGUAACCUUUAGCAACUAACCUUGCUUUAUAUCUUGUCUCAUCAUUAGGAGAAACACCUGUUUCCUCUUGAAAACCCACUUGCAACGAAUAGGCUUCUUCUCUCUAGGUAAUCUUACUAAAUCCCAAGUGCCAUUCUUUUCAAGUGAUUCUAUCUCAUCAUGCAUAGCAGUCAUCCACUUAUUACUAUCACCAGAAAUAAUAGCCUCGGAACAUGAAGAAGGCUCAACAUUACCUUCAAUUUCUUCUGCAAUAGAUAAAGCAAAAGAAAUAAUAUUGCACUCUUCAAUUAACCUAUCAGGUUUAUUAAUACCCCAUCUAACUCUGUCACGUGCGAGAUUCCAACUGGGCAGAACAAUAGGCUGAUUUGGAGUGGGAGUGACAUGAUCAUCAUUAACGACGGGUUCAUCAUGUGCAUCAACAAUAUCAUUACCAGAUGUAUCACCUGAAUCAAUAACAUGCUCCACCUGAACAGUAGGCUCUUGAACAAUAGGUUGUUGUUCACUCUCAAUGGGAACAUUAGUAGAUGAAACAUCAUGUAACAUAGCAGAUUCAUUAAAGAUAACAUUUCUGCUAAUAACAACCUUCUGGGUUUCAGGAUUCCAUAAUUUAAAACCUUUAACACCAGACUUAUAACCAAGAAAGAUGCACUUAACAACCCUAGGCUCCAAUUUUCCAUUAUCAACAUGAGCAUAAGCAGUGCAACCAAAAACUCUCAACUGUGAAUAAUCAGCAGGUGAACCAGACCAUACCUCAAUUGGAGUUUUCUUAUUAAGAGCAAUAGAUGGUGAAUGAUUAAUGAGAUAACAAACAGUGGAAGCGGCCUCAGCCCAAAAAGGCAUAUGCAAACCUACAUUGGACAACAUGCAACGGGCUCUAGAAAUAAUGGUACUGUUCAUACGCUCAGCAACACCGUUUUGUUGAGGAGUAUAAGGAACGGUGUAGUGUCUGACAAUGCCUUCAGACUUGCAAUAAUUCUUAAAUUGCUUAAAACAGAAUUCCAUACCAUUAUCAGUGUGAAGUAUCUUUACCUUCUUUUCAAUUUGUCUUUCAAUCAUAAUCUUCCACUCCUUAAAUGCUGAGAAUGCUUCAUAUUUAUGCUUCAAGAAAUAAGGCCAAACUUUUCUCGAAUAAUCAUCAAUUAUAGUCAGCAUGUAACUAGCACCACCUAGUGACUUUCUGCGAGAUGGUCCCCAUAAAUCAGAAUGCACAUAAUCAAGAAUACCUUCGGUUGUAUGAGUCGAACUGUUGAACUUCACCCUCUUGUGUUUGCCGAAGAUACAAUGCUCACAAAAUUUCAUUUUACCAGGUUCAUAUCCAUCAAGAAGACCUCUCUUAUUUAACUCUGCCAAACAAAGUUCACUCAUAUGUCCAAGACGCAUAUGCCAAAGGUUAGCAGCAUCACAAUCAGAAUUCUUUGAAAUAACUGGAGUAGCGUUACCUGAAACGGUAGAACCUCGAAGGUAAUAAAGACCAUUGGUCGAACUUAAGUCACCUUUCAUCACAACAAGGGAACCUUUGGUGACCUUCAAAACACUAUCUCCACCUGAAUAUUUGUACCCUUUGCAUCAAGGGCACUCAUAGAAAUAAGAUUUCUCUUCAUAUUCGGAAUAUACCGAACAUCUGUCAAAGUUCUGAUUAUGCCAUCAAACAUCUUGAUUCGAAUAGAACUUAUGCCUUCAAUCUUGCAUGGUGAAUUAUCAAAACCCAAAACGGAACUAGCAGAAGUAGUGGAAUCAAAAGUAUUAAACCAAUCUCUAUGUGGACACAUAUGAAAAGUGCAUGCAGUGUCAAGUACCCACUCAUCAUUGGUCUCAGCAUAUCCAGCAAUAACAACAAGAGCAUCAUCGAAACUAUCAUCAUGAGAAACAUUAGCAGAAUUUUCACCUUGUUUGUUACCUUUCCUCUUUUCUUUAUUCUGCAACUUGAAACACUCAGAGAUGUCAUGCCCGUCUCUCUUGCAAUACCUACAAUACUUCUUGUCUCUGGAUUGCGACCGGCCCCUCUAGCCGUUUUUACUUUUGCCUCUGUUUCCAUUAUUGGAGUUCUUCUCCUUUGUCCUGCCACGAACAGAUAAUCCCUCGGCUUGGGAUGAACUCGAACCAUCAUGAGGCACCAUUAAUUUCAUCUUCUCCUUAGAGUUCAAAGCUUCAUAAACUUCAUUAAGUGUGAGAGUAUCAUGACUGUAUAAUAUGGUGUCUCGAAAAUUGGUAUAAGAACUUGGCAGUGAACAAAGUAACAUUAGAGCAGUAUCUUCCUCUUCAUACUUAACCUCCAUUGCAGCUAGAUCAGAUAUGAUCUCUUUAAAUUCUGAAAUAUGAUUCAAAACAUUACCUCCCUCGGGUAACCUGUGCAGGAAUAAUUUUUGUUUCAGAUGCAUCUUGCUGGUGAGAUCUUUAGUCAUGCUAAUCCCUUCCAGCUUUAACCAUAGAGCGGCGGCAGUUUUCUCGCUCAAAACUCCCUGCAAAAUAUUAUUAUGCAAAUGGAGUUGAAUUUGUGACAAAGCCUUACAAUCAAUUCUUUUCUCCUCAGCAGUCCAGUCCUCAAUUCGGUUCUUCCCAAAACUAUCCAGUGCUACAUCAUAGUCGGCAUGUGCUAACAACGCCCGCAUCUUGACUUGCCAUAGGGUAAACCUUGUGUCACGAUCCAGCAGCGAAAAAUCGUACUUCAUGGAUGCCAUGAGUAGAUAAAUCUGUGUACACAAAGUAGUACAAGCCAAUAGAAAAAAUUCUUGACAAAAUUUAAAGUACGCGGAGCAAAGAACUAGGAACAAUAGCACCUGGUAGCUGGGGUAAUCGAAGACCAAAAACUUGAUCUGUAGCUUGACGUACUAGUAGUCAAAUCACGUAGUGGAUCAGAUGUGAAUUAAACUACUUCUUUGCUUCUGGCCGGCGAGCAGUAGUACUACUAGCUUUUGCUUCGGUUGAUGACAUGGAGCGCAUGAAGUUGAUCGAAUCUGCAGCAACGUCAACUCGUCGGAUGAUGGCCGAAAUCACUGUUCUGACCUUGUCAGCGUUUAUUGUCACAAAAUGAACCCGGCAUGAAAGUAUUUCACGAAUUGACCCUUUUAGAAACGCCAGGGUCCGCAGCCUUUCCACCCAACAUAGAAACGCCGAGCAAGCUAGCGUUUCUGCCCUGGCCCACUGCCAGGCCAAGGAUGCGUUGGCUGCUGACGUGGCAGGCUGGAAAUGCCGACCCAGCUAGUGUUUCUGGAAACGCCAUAAUCAGUGGCAUUUCUGGUGCAGAUAUUUUAGGUGGCCGUGGGGCUUUCACCCAGCACUCACCACUCACUCUCUUCUCCCCCAUUGGCCUAUCCCGAGCUCUUGCCCUUUUCCCCCUUUGUUUCCCUCACUUAGCCCCUCACAAAUCCUUGCAAAUCGAUUGGGUUGGUCCGUGGAUCCGGUGUCAUUUCCGUUCAUUGAGGUAACCUCCUUCAUCUCACAAAUUUGUAUUGGUUGGAUUUGUCCAUUUGGAUUGAUUUGUUCUUGUUGUUCCUAACCCUAGUUUUGAGCAUGGAUCUAUAAUGUGAUGUUUUGAGUAUUGUUGUUCCAAUAGUGUUGCAUUUUGAUGUUGUUGAGCAUACCUUAUUGUGGGUUAUGGCUAAUGUUAAGAUUUAGGGUUAGGGUUAUGGCCAAUGUUAAGAUUUAGGGUUAGGGUUAGGUGUUCUGUUAGCAAUGUGGUAUAUUUAGCAUUGUACAUUUCUUAUACUUAUGUUACCAUUUUUUUAGAUGGACAAGAUUGUGAAUAUUCAUUAUGUUGACAAAGAGGCAUUCAUGAAUGUGGAUAUUGUUGACAAGUAUGAGGAAGUGUUGAUAUUUCUUGAGACCCCUAGUUAUGAAGAGGUUGUGGAAGAAACACGGAUACGAUUAAAGUGGGUGGAUUCAAGUGAUCAAGUUGAAUUAGUAGGAAGAUAUGAUGUUGGGUCGGCACACAAGUGUCGAAUGAAGACAAUGCCUAUCAAGUCCAAUUUGCAUUGGGCUGCAUAUAAGGAGGUUGUUGCAUCCUCAGAAGUCAAGUCACUCGAAGUCUUUGCAAGUAAGGUGGUCAAGUCUCCUCUCUUUCAUGUUGAUUUGAACCAAACCUUAGUAGAUGAUGUGAACCCAGUGAGUAGUGUGCCGCCUAUUGUUGAGUAUAAAGUUGAAGCGGAAGCCAAUGAGUAUCCCCAAUAUGAGUUCAGAGGUAGUGCACCAAUGAAAGAUGAUGGCGAUGACUCCGACGAAGAGUAUGAGAGGCACCACAACAUUGUUGGUGAUGUAGAGGCUGAAGUAAGGCAUCAGGACAUGGAUCCUGACAUUAUCUAUCAGCGUGCUUGUGUGGAUGACUCGGAUGAUGAAGGCUCGGUGAAUGAGUUGGACGAGGAUGGCUUGACUGCGAAAGAAGCAGAGUGGUACACAAAAAUCACUGGUAGGGAUCACAAAGUUCCCUUGUUUUGUGAUGUUAGCCUUGCAGAUAAGGCUAUAGUCGACGGUGGCAUGAGCAAGACAAUUCAGGCUAGACAGUUCCCAAGUAGUACACCCGACGCGAUUUCGACACCAUACGUGAGGAAAGGUUUGAUGUUCGAGCACAUGCUAGAAUUCAGGAUGUGGUUGUGUGAGUAUGUUGUCAAACACCACAGGCCUUUCAUAGUUGUUCACUCGGACUGCAACAAGCGAUACACCGUGAAAUGUGAGGUAGAAAGAUGCAAAUGGAAAGUCAAUGGAAGACUCAUGAAAGAUGGUUGGUGGAAGAUAACUAGUUGCAAAGCCACUCACCAAUGCACACCGCCGGCCGUAGAAGCACGGAAGACACAUCGUCAACUAACAUCGGAAUUCAUUGGUUAUAAAUACCAGAAACAUAUGGACGAGGAUCCAACCAUUAAAGUGAAGUUGUUGAUGAGUUGGAUUGAAGAUAAAUUCGGAUAUAAGGUCAAGUACGGAAAGACAUGGAAGGCCAAGCAAGUCGCUCUCAGAAUGUUGUAUGGUGGAUGGGAACAGGCUUACACCAUGCUACCCAGGUUGCUGGGAGCGAUGUCGUACAGAAACCCAGGAAUGUACCACUAUGUCCAAGAUAUUGAAGGAGUGUUCCGUCGUGCCUUUUGGACGUUUGGCCCAUGCAUUGCAGCUUUUGAGCAUUGUCGACCGGUUUUGUCUAUAGAUGAGACAUUCUUGACAGGGAAACACAAGGGCACACUCAUGAUAGCAAUGGCACAUGAUGCUAACGACCAGGUGUUGCCUGUGGCAUUUGCUUUGGUCUCCGUGGAGAACCAAGACAACUGGGAAUGGUUCAUGAGACUUGUUAGGAGCACGGUCAUUCCUCCGAAUAGGGCGGUAUGCAUCAUAUCCGAUCGGCACCAAGGCAUAUUGAAGGCCGUGGAUAUUCAUAUUCCAGGUCAUGCGAGGCUUCACCACCGGUGGUGUAUGAGGCACUUCGUUGCAAACUUUUACAGGGCUUGUAAGAACAAGGAUCUUUGCAAGGAUCUUAACUCCGCAUGUGUAGCCUUCUCCGUUAAGUCAUUCACGACACGCUUGAAAAAAAUCUAUGAGAAGGCAAACGAAGGUGGGAAAGAUUUCUUAGAAAGGAAUAUUGAUGAGAGACACAAGUGAUCACGGGCAUGUGACGAAGGAGGCAUGAGAUAUGGUGACAUGACAAGCAAUCUAGUUGAGUGCUUCAACUUUGUCUUGAAGGGUUCCCAUCAGUUGCCGGUGACGGCAAUAGCGGAAUAUACCUUUUACAAGCUAAAUGAGUAUUUUUUGAAGCACUCCGACGAAAUCGACAAGUUGAUUGCUGAUAGUGAGAAGCCUCCCAGUGAAAUUUAUCCGAAGAAGGUUGCCGAGUGGCUGGAGUUUCAGAGAGACAAGUCAGCCAUCCAGCGAGUCACUUGUUUCGAUAAUGUAGAAAUGAAAUACCAAGUGGAUGAGCCAGGUGGGACAACUAGAGAUGGACAAUCAUAUGGUGGUCGCUCAUUUAAGGUGGCUCUUAGGACAAGACAUUGCACUUGUGAGCGGCCUAGUAAGUACCACUGGCCAUGCUCGCACAUGAUGUCGGCGGCCCGCAUCAGGAAUGUGGAUAUCUCCGAUGGAGUAGUUGUGAGGUUGCAUGAAUUCAAUUUGCAAACUCAUAAGUUAACAUGGGCGUCUAGAUUCCACCCUUUUCUGGACGCAUCGCAGUGGCCAGAGUAUCACGGUCCUAACAUUAGGCCCGAUCCGGAGAUGAUGGUACAACCCAAGGGUAGAAGGAGAACAAAGCGAUACAGGAAUGAUAUGGAUGACCUCAUGAGCACCAAAGAAUUUGGUAGUGGACAUUUCAUGGAGCCACGUGAUAGGAACCAAUGCGGUGGUUGCAAUGAAACGACACACAACAAAAGGACUUGCAAAACAAACAAAACUUCAAAAGGGCACAAUGCUUCUUCAAGUGGUGGACGAGGUUCCGGUGAUGGCCUUGGUGGUGGCCGAGGUUCCGGUGGUGGCCGAGGUUCCGGUGAUGGACUUGGUGGUGGCCGAGGUUCCGAUGGUGGCCUUAGUGGUGGCCGAGGUUCCGGUGGUGGCCGAGGUUCCGGUGGUGGCCGAGGAUCCAGGGUGGUCGUGGUCGAGGACGAAUUACCGGUGAUGGUGCUCGUGGUAGGGGUAGAGGUUCGGGUGGUGGUAGAGGAGGUUUCAUGGGUAGAGGCUGUGGUAAUGCUAGAGGAAUGUUUGGAUACCUAGAUGGACCAUUUCCGUACGUGGCUACAUUUCAUAAUUAUUUUCAUGUCUCCCAAUAUUACUUUCAUGUUGUUCUUGUCCUUACUAACUAAUGUCUUGCAAUUUUUCAUAGGUAUGGCGGCUUCUCAACCCAACAAGGCAACAAUGAAGGGGCUUGAGGAUGGCAAAGGUGAGAUGGAGGGAUGGUGGGAGAAGGCUGCGAAGAAGCUUAGAGAGGAGGAUGCAGCCAAGCUAAAGAAGAAGAAUGAAGAGGAACUUGAGAAGAAGAGGAAGGAAUUAGAGAGAGCGAGAAAUGCGAUGUAUGCUAGGGAGCAAGCGUUGGUGAGGAAAUGUGAGGAGGCACAGAAAAAGCGUCAAAAGGAUUUUGUAGAAAAAACCUUGAAGCUUUGGGCAAUUGCAGAUGAAAAAAAAGAGAGGGAGAAUCAUAUAUUCAUGGAGAGGGUGGUCAAGGAGGCUCACCUCAUAAGGAAAAUGGAGGAGGAAGAAGAAGAAGAGAGGAAGAAGAAGAAGGGAAAGGGGCCUUGCUCUACACAAUAGAGCAAUGAUGUGAACCGUGCCAUGCUUUGGACCUUCGUGUGCAUUUCAUCUUGAACCUUCUUGUUGCCUAGACUCCUUUAUGUGGUGAACUAUGUGUACUCUAAAUUGCUUUGGACUCCUCUAUGUGUAAUCCUUUAUGUGGUGAACUAUGUGAUGUCACAAUUGCUUUGGACUCCUCUAUGUAUACUCCUUUAUGUGAUGUCACAAUUGCUUUGGACUCCUCUAUGCUUACUCCUUUACGUUAUGUGGUGAACUGUGUGUACCACAAAAGGCUUUGGAGUUUGUUUUGACACCCUGUUAUGACAGCAAUGCCAAACAAAUGGGCGUUUCUCUAUACACCCGAAACGCCAACGACCCUGGCGUUUCCACCAUACAACGAAACGCUCUGCGUGGCUUGGCAUUUCUGGAAGACAGAGGCUGGCUGGGACAUGUUCACUAAACGUUGCCGCUCACCCCAGAAACGCCAAUGUCCAUGGUGUUUCCACCCUACAACGAAACGCUCUCAGUGGCUUAGCGUUUCUUUAAGACAGAGGCUGGUUGGGACAUGUUCACGAAACGUUGCCUCUCACACCUGAAACGCCAUUGUCCAUGGUGUUUCUAAGCCACAGAUAAACGCCAUUGUCCUUGGCGUUUCUUUCCUGUUAUGCAGAACACAGCAAACCCUGCUGCCCAUGUCCAUUCCAUCACAAAUAGCAAAGGUAUAACAACAGUUUUCACAAUAUAAUGCCAAGUACAACAACAGUAUAGCAAUGAGACAUAUUUUCGGCAACGAACUUAACAUGAUCCAACUUACAUAAUAAUUACCAAGUCUUGCUAACAUAGAACUAAGAAGUCCAUCAGACAUAAAACAUAACAAGUUCAUCACAUAUAGAACUAACAAGUUUGCUCCAUCUGAAACGCUCACUACAUUUCUAGUUCACCACAUAUAUAACUAACAAGUUCGCAUUAGUCAUCACUUCACUUCUUGCCUCUUUUUGCAGCCAUCUUCCCCUGUUGACGUAGCCCUCUGGAGUGUUCUGCCAUCCAGGACAUCGGAUGGUUCUUGAGCUAACUCGGCGUGCUUCUUCAGAAGGCUGAGAAGGUUGAGUUGGCGGUAGAGCAUCUUCCAUCUGCGAAGCCGCAAGCUCCACAUAGUCCGGAUCCGCAUCGUAGUCUGUCUCCUCCUCUUCAUCAAUCCGUGCUCGGCUCGAAGAAGCACCUGCUCGGCUGGAAGAUGGAUGAGCGGAAGAAGCACGUGCUUGGCUCGAAGAUGGACGAGCGGAAGACAGCACAUCCAUUCUAUACUGAGCACGUGCACGCACAUCCAUGGAUGAACCGCCAUGGCAAGAAAGUAAAGCGGCUAGUGUUCGGCAACGAUUGACAACCUUCUGCAGAGACAAAGACAUUGACAUGUAAAUAUGCAAAAAUAGUUCACAUGACACAUGUUCAUAUUAAGAGGGCCUCUAACCUGUAGAGUACUCCUAACGAGAACGUCUGUUUCUCUACCAGGUGCGCGGCCAAGCACCACAUUACUAUCAUUGAUACAUCUCCAUAGCUCCGUGCCCUGAAUAAAACUUAAGUGACACACCACUCAUGAAGAAAUGUCACAUGUUCAAAAAAGAGACAAAAAGACAUACCACUCGGUCAUGCAAAGGGCCAUAAUCUAGGUGCGCUCCAAUGGUCUCCCUAAUAGAGUUGUUGAAUGCACCAUCAGCAACCUCACUUGGCAUUACUUUCAAGCAAUCGACACGAGUCCAAGCACCCUUAAGGAUAACUCUGUACUCUUUGCGAAGCCACUCCAAAUGCCUUAAAUAUGCCCCCUCGUCGUUGUCAGGUGUGUGAUCAUCUUCAACUCGGGCAUUCCUCUGAGCAUUCCACAUGUCCACCCACAUAAGAUGGUGAUCCUCCCAAUUAAUGACAUUCUUGUUGUGUUGCCGGCUCGUCCUACAAAGCAUGAGAAGUAUCGGCAUCAUUUUCAUUUUUCCGUGGUUACACAUUGAUCAACAUAUGGUACAAGAAACUCUCACCUAUGUAGCACCACACUUGUCUCAACAUACUCUGGCGGGGUGCGUUGUUGUACUCCAAAUUGCUUCGAAACAUGAUGUGGAAGAUGCCACUCCACCGCAAAAAAGCAUAUCAUGGGGCAACGCACACGCCAAAGAUGUUGGUCACGGAGGCACAUAUUGCUCAAAGGGAACUGUCUAAGUACCAUGUACGGCCUCCAAUUAACCUACAUCACAACAUGUCACUAGCUAUUACCUGGUUGUAAGUAAGCAUGUCAAGCUCGCUUAUGUAUGCCUUAUACCGCCCCAUGGCGGCGAUACUCGACACUUGGACAUUAGCCCACAUGUAUGCGAUAGUGGGAUAUCGCUCCUCAUCCCCGUCAAAAGGCCACUCCCAAGGUUCUUCCGGAGCAAUGGUGAAGUUACGGCCCACAGGGAUACGCUCCCACAUCCAAAUCUGUAGGGCCCAAACAAAACCACCAAGACAAGAUUUCGGCUUACUCCUCAUACAUGCUCCGUCCAACUGCACAUUUGUACACACAUUAAACAAUCACAGGAAAAAAUUUCUUUCAUAUAAUGAGAAUGCAUCAAAUUAUCAUUACCUGACGGUACAAGAAGGCUAGUGCCGCCGACCCCCAACUCCACUUGACAUCCCAGUUACGAAGAGGGUCCAAGAACAUCCACGAGGCUGUGUCUCCCGUGCCGUCAGGAAACACCACUUGGAUCAAAAGAUUCCAUAAGUAAGCCCUGGCGUACCUCUCCACAACAGCCGGACUGGCAUUCUCUGGGCACUCGUAAAAAUGUUCUUGUAGCCACGAGAACAAAACACCAGAUGGCCUAGGACCCUUCUUUGUUUCAUGAAUCCACGGGGGAGGUUCAACACCAACCAAACCUGCGACCCUUUGUCGCCACCCCUCAGACUUCACCUUCCCGGUAAGAGCCCUACCCUCGAUCGGAAGACCGGAGAUCAUCGCAAUAUCCUCCAAAGUAACGGUCAUCUCACCAAGAGCAAGGUGAAAAGAGUGCGUCUCCGGUCUCCAACGGUCCGUAAGGGCGGUAAUGGCCGUCGAGUUCAGCCAUGGUGGUGUGCCUUUAAAGUUGAGCACAAACUGGAGAAGAUCCAUUCUUCUAAAAUAAGGCUCAUAGCGACAGUCAUACCUCAAGGACUCACGUGGGUUGUGGCCUCUCAAACGAAGUACUGGAGGAACCUACAAAUAACAAACGCACAAUUUAUAUACUUUUCUAAACUACUCACAAUAUGAGAAUCAACAAUGUAGAUACAUAAUUACCUCCCCUCUUUCCACUAGCACAGCACGAUGCUUCUCCUCGUAAUAAUCAUCAAGGCCGGGAUAUUUAUCCGGCUCAAACAUCCUACAAAAUAAGGUCAAUGGAUUUGUUAUGAUAUAUGCUUAAAAUUAUGACCGCAUCAUAUACAAAAUCGUGUGAGAACUAUUACAAAUUAUCUCAAAGAUACAAAUCACGAACGACAUUACCGACACCAAUUCUUUCCAACCUAUUUUAUCCUAAAAAAUCUAUCACAACUAAUUAUUAACAAAUAAUACGCUCAACCUAAUCCAAAAAAAUGGCCUCUCUCUAAAUCCAAUAAUAAACAAGUUAACUAAGAAUACUUAAACACUAGGAGUAUAUGUCUUCUUUCUAAACAUAAUGUAACCAAAAUAUUCGUCAAACAAAUCACUAAUAACUCAUCUUAGGGUUCCACCAUGUUUGAAAAAAUGCAUCUACAAUAGCCAAUCUUGACUGAAAAUAAAUGAAGGAUUGGGAAGAGAAUACCUCAAGCAACUCGGGGAUGCUCCGAUCUACUCGUUUUGAUGAUUAAAAUAGCAGAUCUGGGGGAGAUUUGGUGAAGAAGAGGGAGGGGGCCGCCGCCAGUUCGUCGUGGAACCAGAACUGCUCGACCGGGGGAGUGGGCUGGGUUAGGCCCCCGCGGCCCGCGCGCGUUACUUAAUCCUGGUCAGAAACGCCAAGAACCUUGGCGUUUCAAGCGUGCCACGUCAGCGAAAACAGCGGGUUCAGACUGACUGUGGGCCAGGGCAGAAACGCUAGCUGCCUCGGUGUUUGCGUGUUGGCUUGGAACGCUAGCUUGCUCGGCGUUUCUAUGUUGGGUGGAAACGCCACGGACCCUGACGUUUCUAAAAAGGUCAAAUCACGAAAUACUUUCUCGUCGAGUUUAGUUUGUGACUAUAAACACUGACAAGGUCAGAAUAGUGAUUUCGGCCUCGGAUGACUCGGUACUUGAAGUCUGUACGUAGAUCAGCAGUCUCGGGUGCUAGCGACGACCGGCCAAAUCGACUUCGUGUCAAUCUCGGUUACGGGCGCGCGCACAAGGAAAAUCCUGUCGGUCUUAGUCGUGGAAAUUGAUCUAACGGAUCGAUGAAUCGUCAGAGACGCGUGCGGCUGCGCACAUGAUGUAACCCUAAUCUCUCGUCUCAAAAAUCUUGUAUCUAAAACCUUAGCUCUGUAUACCACUUGUUAGAUAAUAACGAGAAUAAACAAGACACGAAAGCACACAAAUUUUUACGUGGAAACCCUUGCGGAAGAAAACCACGGACGCACGAAGGCGCAAUCACUAUGAGGAGGGGUAUUACAACCACGAGACGACAGACCGUACAGGAGCCAGUACUAUGUGAUGCAUAGGUAUGCACUGUGCGCAUGUACGGUUCGGCAGUGUAUUCACAUAUGCGAAAUGAUUACUGUAAAACAUGAAUGUAUCCGCAGAUAGCAGCGUGAUGGCCUGGAUUACAGAAAGAUGCGGCUCUGUGUGCUCCUCGGCCGCCUCCCAUUACGACCAACCUUAUAUACUCCCUUCAUCUCCAAAUAUAAGAUGUUUCUUGAGUGUCAAAAAUCGUCUUAUAUUUGGAGACGGAAGGAGUGCCAAACUGCUUCCCCUACUUCUUGCGUGCCCAUUUCACAGAGCACGGCUCACGCCUCCGCCGCUGCCGCCGCCGCUCAUCCUCCUCAUCUCCAUCUCCUCCUCCGCCGCCGCCGCUCAUCCUCCAUCUCCUCCUCCUCCUCUACGUAGCCGACGCACGGCUUCCGCCUUCGCCAUUCUUCCUCUUCCAUCACGCCCGGGGCGCCACUCCUCUGCCACGCCCAUGUCCGGCGUCUGCCUCCGCCGCCGCCUCUCCUCCACCUCCACCUCCAACACGCCACCCUCACCUUCCUGGUCACCCCAGGCCGCCUUUGCCGCGGCCACGGAGCGCGCCCGCGCCGGAACGCUCAGCCCUCAAGACGCACACCACCUGUUCGACGAAUUGUUUCGGCAGGCCACUCCGGUUCCCGAGCGCUCCCUUGAAGGAUUCCUUGCCGCCCUCGGCCGUGCUGCAUCCUCUGAAGCCUGCAGAGACGGCCCCUCCCUUGCCCUCACUCUCUUCAACCGUCUCUGCCGAGAAGAAGCCGGCCGGCGGGUGGCGCCGCCCACAAUCUACACCUACGGCAUCCUGAUGAACUGCUGCUGCCGCGUGCGUCGUCCAGACCUAGGGCUCGCCUUCUUCGGCCGCCUCCUAAGGACCGGCCUCAAAACAAAUGAGGUCGUCGCCAGCACCCUCCUCAAGUGCCUCUGCUGUGCAAAACGGGCAGAUGAAGCUGUGAACGUGCUGCUUCAUAGGAUGUCCGUCCUCGGCUGUGUGCCUAAUUCCUUCUCAUACAACAUAGUUCUAAAGAGCUUAUGUGAUGACAGCAGGAGCCAGCGAGCGCUCGGCCUGCUCCAGAUGAUGGCAAAAGGAGGUGUCUGCUCCCCCAACGUUCUGUCAUAUAACACAGUCAUCCACGGCUUCUUUAAGGAAGGUGAAAUAGACAAGGCCUGCAAUCUAUUCCAUGAAAUGACGAAGCAAGGGUUUGUGCCUAAUGUGGUGACAUAUAACUCGGUUAUCAAUGCAUUGUGCAAGGCCCGAGCAAUGGACAAUGCAGAGUCGUUCCUUCGGCAGAUGGUUGAUAACGGUGUUCCACCUGAUAAGGUGACAUAUACUAGCAUCAUCCAUGGAUAUUCCACUUUGGGCCGAUGGAAAGAGGCAACUAAAAUGUUCAGAGAAAUGACAAGCAGGGGUCUUAUACCAGAUAUUGUCACUCGGAACUCAUUCAUGGACUCACUUUGCAAGCAUGGAAGAAGCAAAGAAGCUGCAGAAAUUUUCUUUUCCAUGGCUGCAAGGGGCCACAAGCCUGAUAUCGUCUCCUACACUAUUCUUCUCCAUGGGUAUGGCAAUGAAGGAAGCUUUUCUGAUAUGAUGAGUCUCUUUAAUUCAAUGGAAGGCGGCGGUAUUGUGGCCGAUUGCCAAGUUUUCAACAUAUUAAUUGAUGCAUAUGCUAAACGAGGAAUGAUCGACGAAGCUAUGCUCAUAUUUACUGAAAUGCUAGGACAAGGAGUCAAUCCGAGUGUAGUCACCUACUCAACUCUGAUAGCUGCACUUUGCAGAACAGGUAGGCUAGCUGAUGCUAUGGAUAAGUUUAGUCAGAUGGUUGGUACGGGAGUACAACCGGACACAGUUGUUUAUCACUCCCUAAUUCAGGGUUUCUGUACACAUGGCGAUUUGGUCAAAGCGAAGGAAUUGAUUUCUGAAAUGAUGAAUAAAGGUAUUAUUUGUCCAAACAUUGCAUUCUUCAAUUCAAUAGUAGACAGUCUAUGCAAAGAAGGAAGGGUUAUGGAUGCACACCAUAUCUUUGACUUGGUUAAAGACAUAGGUGAGAAACCUGAUGCCAUCAUGUUUAAUACGCUAAUUGACGGAUAUUGCUUAGUUGGUGAGAUGGGCAAAGCAUUCAUGGUACUUGAUGUCAUGACAUCAGCUGGCAUUGAGCCUGAUGCCAUUACGUAUAGUACACUUGUCAGUGGAUAUUGUAAAAGUGGAAGGAUCGAUGAUGGGUUGAUUCUGUUCAGAGAAGAAAUGUUGCAUAAGAAAGUUAAACCAACAAUUGUUACAUAUAACAUCAUAUUGGAGGGGUUAUUUCGUGCUGGGAGAACAGUUGCUGCAAAGAAAAUGCUCCAUGAAAUUAUCGGAAGUGGGACACCUGUGAGCAUGCAUACAUACGACAUAUUUCUUAGAGGACUUUGUAGAAAUAAUUGCGCGGAUGAAGCGAUCGUCCUAUUCCAGAAAUCACGUGCAAUGAAUGUGAAGUUCAAUAUCACAACACUCAAUACCAUGAUUAAUGCAUUCUACAAGGGUGACAGAAGAGAAGAAGCUAAUGAUUUGUUUGCUGCAUUACCAGCCAGCGGGUUGGUGCCUAAUGCUUCCACUUACGGAGUAAUGAUACAAAACCUUCUAAAAGAAGGAGCAGUGGAGGAAGCUGACAAUAUGUUCUCAUCAAUGGAGAAGAGUGGUUGUGCUCCUAGCUCUCGUCUUGUGAAUGAUGUCAUUAGAACUUUAUUGGAAAAGGGGGAGAUAGUCAAGGCCGGAAAAUAUAUGUCUAAAGUUUAUGGGAAGAGCCUAUCACUUGAUGCUUCAACUAGUUCGUUGUUGUUGUCUCUCUUUUCAGGGAAUGGGAAAUAUCGGGAACAAAUACAAUUGCUCCCUGCAAAGUACCAGUUUUUCGGUGGAAUCAGUUGAUGCACUGGACUUGGCAGAUAAGCCUUGUCAUGGUUCGGAGUUCUCUCUCAACGAUGUGGACAAGAGUCUCUUCCAUGCGCUCACCAAGAUUGAGCUGGGUGAUGGUGCCACCAUGGUGUUCUUGGCCGGUGCUUAGCUGCUAGGCGUGCAUCCAAUGUGCAAUGUUCCUAAUCUGCAAGUCUUCUCUACGCAAGGGCUGUAUGGUACGUGAUGCGUUUGAUAAUGGUGAAAAGAUAACUAAUAGUCAGGGGCAUAUCACGGUGGAUGUUAAUACUGAGUUCAUUGAGUUCUUUGCUACUGUAUUAGGCUGUUUUGAGUUCUCUGAACCUGAGCAUAUCUACUGCAUGUUGGGCUGAGGGUAAUUAUAAUGAACCUGAGCAUAUCGAUGGACUAUUCUAUGUUAUCAAGCUAUUUGGUGUUAACUGAACCUUCAGCACCAACAACUUACAGUGAUGGAGAGUUUAAUAAUUUUACUACCUGAACGAAAACUUGAGCUAUUAAAACCCAGAAAUCCGUUGGUGCUCCCGGCCUCCCGGGAGCGCACGCUCCUGCACGCGAGAAAAAUAUUUAAAAGCGUGAAAAAAUUCCAAACAAAAAUUUGGUGCAUACAUCUAGACAUAUAUGUGUGCACCUCAAGUUUCGGAGAAAACCGACAUUUUUUGUGGCUUGUGUAAAAAAGACAGAAGGAUGUCUUGUGAAAAGCAUUUUUUAACACCGGAUUUUGUCUUUUUCACAUGCGACACAUAAGUUGUCGGUUUUUCGCAAAAUGACUUUGUAAGCAUGUAGAAUAUCGAGAUGUACGCGCCAAAUUUUUGUUUAGAAUUUUUUGAUAUUUCAAAAUAUGUUUAAAACACAUUUUAAAAACCAGGAGCGUGCGCUCCCAUGUGCUAAAACACCAAAGGGACCUCUUUCUUCUUUCUUCGACGUGAGAGGAGCCUGUGUACAGCCCUCUUGCUUCAAUUUCCUAAAAAAAAUGGUACCUCGAUAGCAAGUUUAGUAAUUACUCAUGGUGAUCUGAACAGAAAAUAGUGAGCUUGAGUUGUUAAGGAAACAGCCACCGCCAGGAACCCAUUCUGCAAGAUCUGAAUAGAAAGAAGCCAUGCUAUCAGAUUCAGUUGGCCACUCUGUUCCCGCCAGUGUGCUCCAUGAGUUGAUGGCCAUAUAAAUUCCUAGUUGAUAACACAGAUCCGUAAAUAACAGUUCAAUGCCAUGUCUGAAUGGCCCUUGCUGAUCAUUUUUGUGUGUGCAUAUGUACGUGUGUAACUUGACACUUGGGGAAAGCGAUCUUAUUUUUGUAGCGAGGCCUACUUUCCUCUUAAGUUUACAGUUCCUGGUAUUCCUAUGUGUGCAUACUUUGAGCUGGACACAGAGAGCAGCAUUACUUACAUGUUUCCUUUCUAGGUAUCUCAAAAGGAAGACUGUUUAUGUGCGCAAUAUCUUUUUAUCUCGAAAAAAGGUUAUCGAAUUGUUCUGUCCUGUGACGGGGAUAGAAUUUCGUAAGUGCAAGUUAUUUGCAAGUUGGACUGGAGGAUUUACCUAUUCUAUUUAUUGAAUUUAACUGUUGUACUGUGAAUUGUACUUAGUUGACUUACUCUUCCAUAUAGGACGGUCCUUCUGGUUCUGGGAGUUCCGUUCCCUUCUUUUUCUUUUCUUUUCUAUGUCGGUUUUACUUCUUUCUUUAUUUAUUUUUAUCUUCGUUUCCAUACCUGUUGUAAAAUUAACUUUGGGGAGAUUUUUUUUGCUUUUUUAUCUCUAUCGGGUUUUACUUUUUUUUUCAUUUUCCAGUUUAUUUUCAUAUCUGUUUUCUUUCUUCCGUCAAUAUUUUUCAAGUUUAUGAAUACUCUUUAUAUUCAGGGACAUAUUUUUACUUUGUAAACAGUAUUCAAAUACAUAAAAGUUUUCUUCAAAAUUGUGAACAUUUUUCAAAAAAUUAUAGAUUUUUCAUGUCCGCGAACACUUCUAAAUUUACAAACAUUUUUACAUCCAUGAUUUUUCUUUAAAUGUACUAAUCCCUCCGAUCUAAAUUAACUGAUGCCGCUUUAGUACAACUUUAGUACAUAGUUGUUCUAAAGCAGCGUAAAUUAAUAUGGAUCGGAGGCGGUAUUUACAAAACUUCAUGAACAAUUUUAAAACUCAUGAUCAAUUUUUUUACAUUUUUUUAGAAUUAAUGAAUUGUUUUCUUCAUUCAUGAAUUUUUUAAAAAUUUAUGAAGAUAGAUUAAACCCACGAAUGUUUAAAAAAAAUAUGAACAUUAUUCGUAACUAAAAAUAUAAAAUAAUAGAAAGUAUUCUAAUAGAAAAUAAAAAAUUUAUUGAAAAGCGAGCAGAAAGAAAUCGCCAACGCAAAAUACAUAGUGCUCUAUGGGUAUUUAAUGAAAGACCAACCAAAAUAAAAUUAAAUGUCGACUGAAAACAAACCGAGGGAAAAAUGUGAGUACAAUACGCACGUAGCGCUAUAUGGUUUGCUGCCUAGUGUGCUUGCUAUCCUACAUGCUACUCCCUCCGUUCCAAAUUAGUCGUCACAGAAAUGGAUGUAUCUAGAACUAAAAUACAUCUAGAUACAUCCAUUUCUGCGACGAAUAAUUCGUAACGGAAGGAGUACAUGCGGAACAAUAACUCUCACAGUUGUGCAGAAACAAAAUAACUGCAAAUAAUUUUAAAGAAAAAUCUGAAGAUUUUUUGACAUUCAAUUUUUAAAAAUAAAUACAUUAACAAGUGUUUUAAUAGAUAAGAAGGAUCGAAGUCCCAAAUCACGGUAACACCGUGUCGUGCUUCGCUAGUAGUAGCCACAGCCAUAAGCAGUGGCGGAGCUUCAUGGGGUCAACCUGGGCAAUGGCCCCCCAGCUCACAUGAAAACAAACCUAUAUCCAUUUGUAUUAAGCCCUACUUUCUACUAAAAACAGUCAUAAACAAUUACUCUUGNNNNNNNNNNNNNNNNNNNNNNNNNNNNNNNNNNNNNNNNNNNNNNNNNNNNNNNNNNNNNNNNNNNNNNNNNNNNNNNNNNNNNNNNNNNNNNNNNNNNNNNNNNNNNNNNNNNNNNNNNNNNNNNNNNNNNNNNNNNNNNNNNNNNNNNNNNNNNNNNNNNNNNNNNNNNNNNNNNNNNNNNNNNNNNNNNNNNNNNNNNNNNNNNNNNNNNNNNNNNNNNNNNNNNNNNNNNNNNNNNNNNNNNNNNNNNNNNNNNNNNNNNNNNNNNNNNNNNNNNNNNNNNNNAGUCCAUGCCCCUCCAUGUUUUUGGCUCAAGCUCCGCCACUAGCCAUAGGUGUGCCGCACCGUGUCAAGCUCCGAUAACGAGCCACGUCAGCCUCCUUUCUUCUUCUCCAUCGGCCUACUCCUCCAUAAGGAAGCCACCACCGACUGCCGCUUCUUCCCACUCCUCCACUCGUCUCAUGCUCCUUUUUCUCCAUCCACAGCACCAAUGCUCCAACUCCACAAAAUGUUGAAAACUGAUAGAUUUUUAGAGGCAAAAGAGCUCAUGAUAACACACAGCAUGCUGUUUCUUGACCUAUGCGAGAGUGUCGGUUUUGAUACUCUCAUGUGGGACCCAUUAUCGGCAAGAGGAGAAGACAUUAAAGCUCUAGUUAGUAAUUGCAAGGAUUCCAUUUUUCCUAAAUUGAUUAGCAGGAAAGGUGCCCGAUGUCGCUCUGCCAAUUCAUUUUGGUCGUCGACGUGCUCCUACAUUUAACCCCUCGUGACGACAACAGUUGAUUGCCUGUGACGCCCCUUGAUGAUGGACUCCCUUUGCUCCGAUCAUCCGAUAUGCCAAUGACUCUAUUGUCGCUGCUCUGCCGCACCGUGGUUCGGGAUUAGAUUCAAGGAGAACCAUAAGAACAAUGGGGUGUGCAAUUCACUGUAGCUCGACUUCCUGUGGCACAACUAGAAGGACACAAAAUCCAGCAGCUACCUAGUAAGCUGGCCGCAUGUGUGCCACCCGUUGGAGUUUGGCGGCCUUAUCGUGCGCAUUCUGCAUCGCACGGGCAUCUCUCUCUGCACACCCACAGGUUAUGGAUCGAGGCCGCCACUGACCCUAACCACCCCUGGCGUCACCUUCAACCUCCCUCCGACGAUGAGACUAGCAAAUUCUUCUGCAUGUCCACGAUAUGGACCAUUAGCGACGACAAAACUUGUCGCUUCUGGUGCGAUCACUGGUUGGGCGGCCAGUCCAUCUCCGGUUUCGCUCCUCACCUAAUCAACCUCAUCCCGCAUCGCCGCACUAUCGGUUGCGAUGGGCUUGCGAAUCGAAGUUGGAUCAACGAUAUCCAUGACACUCUCGGUCCAGAGGCUACGAUCGAGUACGUGGACCUUUCGCAGCGCAUUUGCCAUGGCAUGCUCACUUAUGCUCCUAACAAAAUCGUUUGGAAGUGGUAACCGAACGACCAGUACUCCGCACGAUCCUGCUACAUGGUUCGACCGCGUUGCCGGCUUGGUGUCUGGUAUGGAAGAGUUGGUCACCCCUCAACAAAACAAAUUCUUCCUAUGGCUCGCGUCCCUCGACCAUUAGUGGACUGCUGACCGCCGCGCGCGUCAUGGCCUCUCGCAUGCCCCUGCUUGUGUCAUGUGCUCUCAGGAGUUCGAGACCAUUGGCUAUCUAAUUUACGGGUGUAUGUUCUCGUGGAUCACUUGGCACAAAGUUCUAUCUUGGUGUCAUCUCCCUUUACCACCUUCGAACGGCACAGCGAGUUUCUUCGAAUGGUGGUCUGAAAUUGCUUCAUCGUCUCCUACCGGCAUGUGCAAAGGCAUCUAGUAUAUCAUCAGCCUAACUAUGUGGCUCAUUUGGAAGCACCGCAACGCUGCAGUCUUCGAUGGCUACGCUCAUCGACUGAAAACCUCAUCAACAAGAUCAAGGAUUAAGCGCCGGUUUGGGCUAGAGUGGACGCUGAGGGCUUGGAUACCAUGUUUUUGUAACCUGAGAUCCUGUUGUACCGAUGCCGACAACCUCCCCCUUCUGCUCCCGUUUGCAUCCUCUUUGACGUCGGUUUGUGUAUCCAAGCGAGAUGAUACGCUCCCAAAAACUUUCAUACUGUAUGCUACGCUUCCAAAAACUUUCAUACUGUAUGAUAUCAUUAAUAAGCAGUAAAAUCGACCAAACAAAAAAGAUGUACAUAACGAAUCAACCUGUGGUUGAGUUGGUUAGGUGGACAGUGGUAUCCCCAACCCACCAGGGUUUAAAUCCUGGUGCUCGCAUUAUUCCUGGAUUUAUUUCAGGAUUUCCGGCGAUGCGCUUUCAGUGGGAGGAGACGUUCCCGUCGACGACGAGGCGCCUACGGUGACUUCGUAAAUCUCAAGAUGAUAUGCCAGCUCAGUCUCUCGGAGGUGCUCAUAGGGGUAGGGUGUGCGUGUGUGCGUUCAUAGAGAUGAGUGUAUGUGCGUGUAUAUGAGCGCUUGUGUUUGUACUGAUGCUAAAAAAAAAAAGAUGUACAUAUACUUGCGCGCCUCCCGGCCGGAGUGUCCCGCAUCCGCAUCCGCCGCCGCCGCUCACCCUCCUCCUCCUCCUUCUCUACCUAGCCGACGUCCGGCUUGCGCCUCCGCAGCUCCUCCUCUUCAUCACGCUGAUGUCCAGCAUCCACCUCCGCCAUUGCUCCACUAUGCCCAUGUCCCGCGUCUGCCUCCGCCGCCGCCUCUCCUCCUUCUCCAACUGCACCUCGCCGCCCUCACCAACCUGGUCUCCCCACGCCGCCUUUGCCGCGGCCACGGAGCGCGUCCGCGCCGGAACGCUCAGCCCGCAAGACGCACACCACCUGUUCGACGAAUUGUUUCGGCAGGCCACUCCGGUUCCCGAGCGCUCCCUUGAUGGAUUCCUUGCCGCCCUCGGCCGUGCCACGCCCUCUGAGGCCUGCAGAGACGGCCCCUCCUCGCCCUCACCCUCUUCAACCGUGUCUGCCGAGAAGAAGCCGGCAUGCGGGUUGCGCCGCCAACCAUCUUCACCUACGGCAUCCUCAUGAACUGCUGCUGCCGUAUGGGUCGUCCGGACCUAGGGCUCGCCUACUUUGGGCGCAUCCUCAGGGCGGGCCUGAAGGCAAACCAGAUCGCCGCCAACACCGUCAUCAAGUGCCUCUGCUGCGCAAAACAUACCGACGAGGCUGUCAAUAUGCUGCUUCAUAGGAUGUCCGACCUCGGCUGUGUACCUGAUGCCUUCUCAUACAACACAGUUCUGAAGAGCUUGUGUGAAGACGGCAGGAGCUUGCAGGCGCUCGACCUACUGCUCCAGAUGGCGUCGAAGGAAGGAGGUGCCUGCUCCCCCGACAUGGUGGCAUAUAGCACGGUCAUCCACGGCUUCUUGAAGGAAGGCAAAGUAGACAAGGCAUGCAAUCUAUUCGAUGAAAUGAUGCGGCAAGGGGUUGUGCCUGAUGUGGUGACGUAUAGCUCGAUUAUCGAUGCAUUGUGCAAAGCUGGAGCAAUGUACAAGGCAGAGUUGUUCCUUCGGCAGAUGGUUGAUGAUGGUGUUCGACCGGAUGAGGUGACAUAUACUAGCAUGAUCCAUGGAUAUUCCACUUUGGGCCGGUGGAAACAGGUGCGUAAAAUGUUCAGAGAAAUGACAAGCCGUGGUCUUAUACCAGAUACUGUCACUUGGAACUCGUUCAUGGACUCCCUCUGCAAGCAUGGAAGAACCAAAGAAGCUGCAGAAGUUUUCUUUUCCAUGGCUGGAAAGGGCAGCAAGCCUAAUAUUGUCUCCUACACUAUUCUUCUUCAUGGGUAUGCCAAUGAAGGAAGCUUUGCUGAUAUGAUGAGUCUCUUCAAUUCAAUGAAAGGCGGCGGCAUUGUAGCCAACUGCAAAGUUUUCAACAUAUUAAUUGGUGCAUAUGCUAAACGAGGGCUGAUAGAUGAAGCUAUGCUCAUACUUACUGAAAUGCGGGGACAAGGACUGAGUCCGGAUGUAGUCACCUAUUCAACUCUAAUAUCUGCACAUUGAAGAAUGGGUAAGCUGACUGAUGCCAUGGAUAAGUUCAGUCAGAUGGUUGUUGGUACGGGAGUACAGCCGGACACAGUUGUUUAUCACUCCCUAGUUCAGUUCUUAUGUACACAUGGUGAUUUGGUGAAAGCGAAGGAGUUGAUUUCUGAAAUGAUGAAUAAAAGUAUUGCUCGUCCAAACACUGCACUCUUUAGUUCAAUAAUGGACAGUCUAUGCAAUGAAGGAAGGGUUAUAGAUGCACACCAUAUCUUUGACUUGGUUAUAGACAUAGGUGAGAAACCUGAUAUCAGUAUGUUUAGUACGCUGAUUGACGGAUAUUGCUUAGUCGGCGAGAUGGACAAAGCAUGUGGAGUACUUGAUGCCAUGGUAUCAGCUGGCAUUGAGCCUAAUGUCAUUACGUAUAGCACACUUGUCAGUAGAUAUUGUAAACGUGGAAGGAUCGAUGAUGGGUUGAUUCUGUUCAGACAAAUGUUGCAUAAGAAAGUUAAACCUACAACUGUUACAUAUGAAACCACACUGAAUGGAUUAUUUCGUGCUGGGAGAACUGCUGAUGCGAAGAAAAUCUUCGAUGAGAUGAUCGAAAGUGGAAUAAUGGCGAGCAUUUCUACAUAUAAUAUAAUUCUUGGAGGACUUUGUAGAAAUAAUUGCGCAGAUGAAGCGGUCGUCCUAUUCCAGAAAUUACGUGCAAUGAAUGUGAAGUUCAAUAUCACAACACUCAAUACCAUCAUUAAUGCAUUGUACAAGGUUGAAAGAAGAGAAGAAGCUAAUGAUUUGUUUGCUGCAUUACCAGUCAGCGGGUUGGUGCCUAAUGCUUCCACUUACGGAGUGAUGGUACAAAAUCUUCUAAAAGAAGGAGCAGUGGAGGAAGCUGACAGUAUGUUCUCAUCAAUGGAGAAGAGUGGUUGUGCUCCUAGCUCUCGUCUUGUAAAUGAUGUCAUCAGAACUUUAUUGGAAAAGGGGGAGAUAGUCAAGGCCGGAAAAUAUAUGUCUAAAGUUGAUGGGAAGAGCAUCUCACUUGAAGCUUCAACUAGUUCGUUGUUGUUGUCUCUCUUUUCAGGGAAUGGGAAAUAUCGGGAACAACUACAAUUGCUCCCUGCAAAGUACCAAUUUUUCGAUGGAAUCAGUUGAUGCGCUGGACUUGGCAGAUAAGCCUUGUCAUGGUUCACAUCUCCCUCUCAACGAUGUAGACAAGUCUCUUCUGUGUGCCUGCCAAUAUUGAGCUGGGUGACGGUGCCACCGUGGUGUUCUUGUCGGUGCUUAGCUGUUGGGUGUGCAUCCUAUGGUCAUUGUCCCUGAUCUGCAGGCCACCUCCACAAUGGCGGUCUGGUCCAUGACGCAUUUGCUAAUGGUGAAAAGAUUACUAAUAUUUGGGAGCAUAUGCACAUCACGGCGGAUUUCAUCCCUGAGUUAAUAGAGGUGAAUUAACAGUGUUUGCAUUUUUGGACAUGUAUGACCAUUGACAGCUCAAUGCUGUCUCUUUCUAAACUACAGUCUACAGUAACAAAUUACCUCAGGACCUCAAAGCUAUCUUAUAAAAAAUUAAAAUUAUCAUUUUAUCAGUUGAUUUUUUAUUUAUUGUUAAACAAUAUGUGUGUGACUUAUUCGAACAUGGAAUGAAUGCCUAAUCUUGGGUUCAGUUCCUUCUGUUUUUUAAGCUUGAAUUACUAAAUAUCUCAAUCCAAAAGUUCAUGGGUGCAACGCAUUGGAAUUUGUUCUAUCAUACUUAAACAUCUGUUUGUAAGUGCUUCAUGUUACUUCGCAUUUCCAGGGAUGUAUCUCACCACAAUCUUUCAGGGUCAGUACCUGAUUUUCUGAAUCCAAUGCCAUCACGUACAUUUAUGUUGUGACAAUCCUGACCUGACUUCGUUUUCCCAAACUGUGCAGCACGAAACCUUUAAAUCUUUUAUUUCUUCAUCUGUCAAGUUGAUUCCUCAAGAAAACAUCAGUUGAUGAAUCAGGGCUGGUUGCUGAAGCUAAGGUUUGCACCCUUUUUUACAACAUCAUGGAUGCUUUGAUGGAGGCAAUGGAUAGCAUUAAAUGACUAGUUUUGGGGGGAAUUUGUCGUAUCGAUACGGUGUGCCAACCGACAUGGGUUGCACCCAAUUAUAUCUUUAAGGUCUUACAAAAUUGUAUCAUGCAUUCUCAAUUUUUGUUUAGGAAUAAUUGCCAAGUUUGGUCCUACUUAUCUACUGCAAGAUUUUUAUGUUUACUGACUUAAUUUGUUUAAUUGUGCCUGACCAUCUCUUUAUGACCAGAACAUUCAGAGAGAAACCAUGGGAGCACAUCUUAAAUCGUAAGAAUAAGAUACUCAAAAUACAAGGUAGCAGCUUCAUGAAAUUCCAUAUUUGCUCCUGAGCUCAAAUUCGAUUUCCAUCAUCCAUUCAUUGCAUUUUACAAGUUGACUGACUAUUUCCGAGCCCAGGCUGCAUUCACGUACCAUUGGGCGCAUUUUAGAAGACAAUCAAACAAGUAUAGUGCGUUUUUCUGAGAGUAUCAUCUGUUCGUCUGAGAGCAAGGCUGGUGUUCUUGGCAUCUAUUUCUCCUGUUUUUUUUGUUUCAUUUGAGUUUUAGCGCCCUUGGCCCCAUCCUUUUUAUAUGCUGAUAAAUUGCGGUGGCUUAAUCCAGUGUCUCCAUUUGGCAGCAUAUAUCCGUGUUUGACAACCCUGCGGAGAGAAUCCUUUGCAGUUGCCAUCCUUAUUUUUUACCUUUCUUUCCCAAUAACUAGUAUAAAAAACUUUUUGUGGGAACAAUAACUAGCAUUGUUUGGUUUAUUGCAGCAUUGAUCAAUUAUAACAAUGAAAGAUCAUAUCUACAUGCAAAUUUUGAGGGUACACGAGCCUCUUUGCCGACCCCUCAAAUGUACUGUAGCAAAUAUCUCUGCAUCAUGUGUUUUACGCUUUGCUCCACAGGUGACUAUCCGGCCAAUGGUGCUUGGAACUUGGACGAACCGGAAGAAGAGCAAAUUUGCCAAGGGAUAUGCAUGAGAAUCGGCGAUGCCAUCUGGACGAUCAAGUCCUUUCGGUCGCUCUAAAAUGGAGCCCGUGCUUGGGGCUCAAGGAUUCAGCGAGACGAUGGGGUCUGCCAAGGGGGAGCCGACGUCUACUCUCGGCCAGCGGCAAGCUGACUCUCAACAGUGCCAUCUUCACUUUGCUGCCCCCGGCCUCACUUCUGCCUAUUUAAAGUUGAGCAUAAUUCCUCGUCUGCUCAGCUCAUUUUGACCGGUGGCCUGGCCUGACCAAGCACUGCACAAGGCGCCCCGACUGACACUCGGCGAAGCUCUGGAGAAGGACAAAUUGGAUGAGGUUCGAGCCUCACCUGUCAGUUUGAAGGAACGCUGCGUACCGACGACAAGAGCUCGAUUCGGUCGGUGAAGGCCGGUCCUCGAACAGAACAGAUAUGUUGGCGUGGUUGGGUGAAACUGCUUGGCCAAAGAUAAUUUGGCGAUGUCCAACACGCCCCCUGUGCAGCCUCUGUGGCCGGGAUGAGCCAACUCGACCGGAUAUUCAAGCCCCCCUUGAUACAUCUAUCUAUCUAGCUGGCCGUUUAUACCGGUACCCAGCACCGUGUUGUCUUUCUUGUUUUGAACAAAGUUUUAGCUUGCUGUUUAUACUGGUAUCCAGCGCCAGGUCUUCUUGAUGAAUGAAAUACAUCACUACCCUGUUGUUUCGUCAAAAAUUAAUGAACUCCGUGUCAGUUUAUCACACAACGUACUCCCUCCGUUCUGAAUUACUUGUCGUAGGUAUGGAUGUAUCUAGAUGUAUUUUAGUUUUAGAUACAUCCAUUUCUGCGACGAGUAAUUUGAAACGGAGGGAGUAAGUGCGGAAUUUAUUUACGUAUAGAACAAGCCGAGGAAGGAGAUGAAGAAAAAGAAUGCAGAACGUAGGACUCCGGCGCAGUGUAAGUACUCCGGUGCGCGUUUUCUGUCACCGCAAACGUGCUUUCACAUCCCAGAGAAGCCGAUCCGCCAUCACUCGGGUCUCGGGGCAGUGAAAAAGAAAAAGGGAAAUUCUUCAAAGUUCAAAAGUAUAUGUGGUUAGCGGCGCCACAUUUGUCAUUAGAGCAAAUCAUCGCAUCCGCUGCUUUAAGCUGAUUGGCCGCCGGCAUCCUGAUGAGCUUAUCCUGCCCAAAGAGAAUACACAAAUCAUCAAAGAGAAAGAAAGGUGGUGAGCAAAGGAUGAAAAGUGGAUGCAUUAUGCACUUUCCAUUUGCCACUGAUCCGGGCAACAAGACGACUGGCUAGGACCCUCCUUCCAUCUUUUCUACCUGCAUGCAAAGUGAUAAUGGUUGUGUCGUAUAUUAUGGCUAUAAAGCAAAGCAGGCCUGCUUCGUGCACUCUGAUGUAAGGAGGAGAAGAAGAAAGGAAGGGCCAUGGUCGUCCAGAAAGCCGGAAUCCGGAUGCCCGGACCUAUCUCCUGUGUUUAUGUGUUUUUGCUUCAUGAUUAAGCAUCCGGGCAGCGGCCAUAAUUCCGAUGCUUUUGGGCAAUGGAGAAUCGAUGCCAAACAUGGAAAUCUGUGGGAGGUUUUAUUCUUAUUCCAGCAAAUAAGAAAACAGACAGAUAUAUGCUUCUCUCAAAUAUAUAGGACUAUAUCCUUGUUUAUUGGUAUUAUAAGGCAUGAUGCUCUUCAAUUCUUAUCCUGUGGACUGGCUGAGCUUUGAUGAAUGUGAAAAAAAUGAAAAUGGCAGUGCUUCCUACCAUUUUACUGUAAAAUGGUAUUUUUUGCAAGAAAGAAAGAAAUAGACUGCUAAGGCGGAAAACACGGCGACGGGUUGAAAUCAAACACGUAGCGCGAAAAAAGCGAAAGCUUGAACCGAAACAAAUUAAACAAAUAAAGGCGAAAACCACCACGGCAUUAUUAAAGAACGGCCUCCACAAAGGCAAAGCCAAAGCCAAAGCCAGCAUUAGAAUACCCACAAGUACGCCGCAUUGCAGGGACACACACAUACACGCACAGUCACCAGGAUGCAAAAGUAGUUCCUCCAAGGCAACAAGAAAGGCAAGGCUUGCUUUGCACCAGGCCGCUCCAGGACACACUACCACCAUCCCAAUCAGUAGAAGAGAGAGUGAGAGUGAGUGAGACAAGCCAAAUCAAAUUAAGGGCAACAACAAGAGCCAAGAACACCGUAGCUAGCUAUCCAUAUCAUAUAAACCAAACCAAAGGCCAACAGCAGCAGUGCACAUAAGAACAGAGCAGGAGCAGGAGAAGGAGCAGGAAGAACCUGAGCAGGAGCAAGAUGAACGGCAUGUACUACCCUCAGCGUUUCAGCAACAUGAUGAUCGGCUACCUCAACCUGGCCACGCUCCUGGCCUCCAUCCCGGUCAUCGGGGCGGGGCUCUGGCUGGCCAAGGGCUCGACGACGACGUGCUCCUCCAUGCUGCAGACGCCGCUGCUCAUCAUCGGCUUCAUCGUGCUCCUCAUCUCCCUCGCGGGCUUCGUGGGCGCCUGCUUCCACGUCGCAUGGGCGCUGUGGCUCUACCUCUUCGCCGUGAUACUCCUCAUCGGCAUGCUGCUCGGGCUCACCAUGUUCGGGUUCGCCGUCACGGCGGGGGGCGGCGGCACGCAGGUGCAGGGCAGGCCGUACAGGGAGUACCACAUCUCGGACUACUCCUCGUGGCUCCAGAAGCAUAUGCAGGACAUCAAGUACUGGAAGCCCGCGCUGGCCUGCGUCGUCGGGUCCAAGGCAUGCCCCAAGAUCGCCAACUGGACUCCCAUGGAUUACCUCCAGCAUGAUCUCACGCCAAUACAGGUUUGCAGUUCAGCCACCGGUCCAUUUUCUUCCAUGUUUGCUCCUCUUGCUAUUUGUCACCACUGCUUUCAGCACUUGUAGUUGUAGUACCACAGAAUUGAUGAUCUGAACUAUAGCCAGCACAAACAUAACAGAUUGUCAAAGAAAUGGUAACAUAAAAAAUAGCUAAACAAUUUAUUGAUCCAGUUCACCAGUUGCAUCUAUGUAAAUUUAAAUAUCUCAAGCACAGGUUUAUGUUCAUUGUCUAUUUGGACAAAAACAUCAAAUUUAUUGACCACCAAGAUUCAAAACCCAGUAAAGAGUGUGACCCCAGGACAAAGUUUGAACCCAUUUUCAGAUAAACUAAACAAACUAGGUCUACUAAAUCUCUAGCCCAGAGCAUCUUCAGUGCUCCUGCACCUCUGCUACUUUAGUACAAGUUGUAGUUCUAACUAAUAGCUUUGCUGCUAAAAUUACUAAUGGAACUAUGCGCUAUCAUGCAGUCUGGGUGCUGCAAGCCACCAACAUCAUGCACAUACAGCGGGGGGAUGCCGGUCGGAGCGCAGGACGAGGACUGCUACCAGUGGAACAAUGCCCCAAACAUCCUGUGCUACCAGUGUAACUCGUGCAAGGCCGGCGUGAUGGAGCAGGUGCGCCAGGACUGGCACAAGAUCUCCGUGCUAAACGUCAUCGUGCUCGUCUUCCUCAUCUGCAUCUGCGCCUGCGGGUGCUGCGCCUUCAGAAACGCCCGCCGCUCCGUCUCCGAGUACCCAUACGGGGUAAACCGCAUGUCCAAGAUCAAUCCACGCUGGGACUACUACUGGUACUUUCAGCCAAAAAUAAAAAACAAAAUAAAAUUGUCACACCAUUUCUGUUUGAUUGCUGCUUUUCACUGGCAUUUGUUUUCUCUUCAGAUGUUUGGUUUCAGCCCCCAAAAUGCAUUUCCACAGUCUCAUGAUUAANNNNNNNNNNNNNNNNNNNNNNNNNNNNNNNNNNNNNNNNNNNNNNNNNNNNNNNNNNNNNNNNNNNNNNNNNNNNNNNNNNNNNNNNNNNNNNNNNNNNNNNNNNNNNNNNNNNNNNNNNNNNNNNNNNNNNNNNNNNNNNNNNNNNNNNNNNNNNNNNNNNNNNNNNNNNNNNNNNNNNNNNNNNNNNNNNNNNNNNNNNNNNNNNNNNNNNNNNNNNNNNNNNNNNNNNNNNNNNNNNNNNNNNNNNNNNNNNNNNNNNNNNNNNNNNNNNNNNNNNNNNNNNNNNNNNNNNNNNNNNNNNNNNNNNNNNNNNNNNNNNNNNNNNNNNNNNNNNNNNNNNNNNNNNNNNNNNNNNNNNNNNNNNNNNNNNNNNNNNNNNNNNNNNNNNNNCACACAUAAAAAAAGUAAUGAUGACACUGGCAAUAUAACGCAAUUUCAGUUUGUGGCCAUCUAUUUGCUGUGACUUUUCUAACACCGCUUUAUGUUUUUUCCUACAGGUGGCGAUGGUUCCGCGAUAGGAGGGAACAAACGUACUAGGCUAGCUAUUGGAACUCAACUCAUGUAUAAUAUUUUCUUGAUGGUAAAUGGCCGAGGGGUUGGGUCAGUUCUUCAUAGCACUCUGGUAGUGGCCAAUAAUUAAUCUUCUGUAGAUAAUCAGUAUGAGGAAAGUACAAGAUGGUGAAGUGGAAAGCAUGUGUAGUUUAUCCAGUAUUGGUAGAAGAAUGCUUUGCAUUUUGUAGCAUAUUUAGUUAGAGAAUUCAGAAGAGAAGAGACUUCAUGUCUAUGGUGGGAAAUCCAGUCAGCUAUAUAUAUGACCAUAUCAGCACAUGUACUGUUGGUGUGACUUCUAUUUGCCAUGUUUUGGUCAUGCCCACCUUCUGAUAUGAUAUCAGUAGACCCAUAGACUGCAGCUAAAUCUAAGACAGGCUCUCCAUCUUUAACACUCGUGGCAUGGACCGUCUUAUUUUGAAUUGAUUUGAAAGCACUUUAGAUAGUGGAUACAGCUCAGCGAUAUUUCAGAAAGAACUAAGUUCUAACUCAAGGGAAAAUAUAAUAAUGAGAUGACAAACAAAUGAGAAAAAUCAAACAAUUUUAUUAUCACAAAAAGUGCAGUGAUCAUCUACAAUCAGUAUUGGUUACAACAGCAUAUAUUCCCAUUAACCUUUCUCCACUAUGGUAGCCAAAGUGUAUUACAUUUCUUUUAGUACAUAUCUAGUUGGUGAGUUUGAAAGAGAAGUGAUGUCAUGUCUAUGGAGUAAAAUCCACAGAGAGUCAGCUAUAUGACUAUAUCAGCACAUGUACUGUUGGUCUGACUUCUAUAGUUGUCAUGUUUUGGCCUGUCUACCUUGUGAUAUGAUUACCCCUAAACUGAGGCUCUAAACCUAAGACAGGCUCUCCAACUUCAGAACCCAUGGACCAUGGUAUUUUUGACGUGGUUGUCUGGUAAGGAAACACUUUACAGCUCAGCAAUAGUUCAGAAGGCGCUUCUAGUUCAAGGCAGAAUAAUGUAACGAUAAGACAAACAACUGAUAAGAACUAAAUAACAGUAUCACAAGCAAUGUGCAGUGACCAUGUAUGAUUAGCAUUGGUCAGAAUAGAAUAUAUUCUCAUCGACCUUUUUCACAGAAAACUUGAUGCCCGAUAGACGGCCCAGCAACUUCCCCGAUAAGAAUAAUACUAGACGGAAUCUCAAAAGGUGCCAAGUGAUUACUGGAUUGCAGGUGUUCUGAGGUUUGGGACAAUCUGUCUCUAGGAAGCAAAGCAUCUAGCGUCCCGUGUCAGCUAUGACUGUCUAACAAGAUGCUGAUUCAAUGCAAAUUCUAGAACAUAACACAAGCAACUACAACAACAAAGACAGCUUGAAAUGGACUCACCUUGCAACUCAUGUAGCUCCAGAACAGGUAANNNNNNNNNNNNNNNNNNNNNNNNNNNNNNNNNNNNNNNNNNNNNNNNNNNNNNNNNNNNNNNNNNNNNNNNNNNNNNNNNNNNNNNNNNNNNNNNNNNNNNNNNNNNNNNNNNNNNNNNNNNNNNNNNNNNNNNNNNNNNNNNNNNNNNNNNNNNNNNNNNNNNNNNNNNNNNNNNNNNNNNNNNNNNNNNNNNNNNNNNNNNNNNNNNNNNNNNNNNUUGUUUCUGCAAGGAGCAUUCCUGCAGCAGAGGAGGUUAAACCCUGCAACGGACAGGGAUCAUUGUGCAUCCACUGCAAUUUGCAUGCUUGAACCACAAUUGCCAGGCAACUAAAUCUGGAGAAAUGGGGUCAGAGUGCUCAGGACAGGGGGCAUGGGCCAUCAGGAAGAGCAGGGCUGGAGUAGAUGUCCGAUAAAAGAUCAUGGCAGACUGGAAGCAAUGAAAGAACAACCUGCAUCUAAUUUAUAGAUGCUUCUCUAGAACUGUGACUGUGACUUUUAUCCACUAUUCUGCAACAUAACAACAUAAACUGCUCCUCCAAGACAUCAGAACUGAUGGGGUGGAAUGCAAAGGGAGGCAAGGAACAUGAGCAGUAGAUCAAUAACAAUCACUUGUAGUUCCAAUACUGACUCCGUACAAACUUCUCUGCCAUAAAUGUGACAGAAGGUUGCACUCAUUUGUCAUUUCUGAUUACCAGCACACAACUAAGAUCAUUUGGUUUAUUCUAAAUACAACACAGAAUCAAUAUUUCAUUACAUUUAAGACAAAUUUGAGAACAUCAUAUCAAAACAAAAUCUGCCAUUUUGGGAUGGCUGUUGAGAGGAGGGGUACAGCCAAAGUUUCACCGAGAAGGGUUGUGGCAUUGUUGGCAACUGUAGCACAGAAAAAAAGAGACGAAACGGAGCAGCAGAAACGAGUUAGACGCCUUGCCGUUUCCAGAGGAGCUCCUCA
rnacentral:lncRNA from 1 species